GUUUCUAAUUUUGGUAAUAUUAGUUUUAUUUGUGUAAAAUUUUAUAUUUAGUAUAAUUUAUUUUACAUCCCACAAUGCUAUCUCUAGUUUAUUCACAAAUUCUUCUUCAUCAUAUAAAUAUGAUAUGUAAUACUUUUUCUGUUCUAAUUCAUUUAUGAUAUCAUCCUUUAUGUCUAGAUUAUGUAAUCAUUUUGAUAUUAUCUUGGUAAAUGGUAUAAAAUCUUGCACAAUACCUAGUUUCUGCCAGACUACCUUCUAGUUUUCACAAUUUGAACCAAAGAGUGAAUCCUUAUACAAUUUAUCCUGACCAUUACCUACCUCUAUGUGCAGGGUAAUUCACUUGCUAUUUACCAAAUUCUCCUUGUCAACUUAUUUACAAUAUAUUGUGUUCAGUUCUGGGGGUCAAAUCUGCAGAAACUAUGAGGGAGAAACUCCAAUUGUUGUAAGGCUCAUCGCCAGGGCCGGCCAGCCCUGUGUGACCUCACUUGGGGUAAUGAAAUGAAGAGUAAUGAAUGGAUGCUAUAUGAAAAUGCAUAGUGACAAAGCUUUAUUGGUUUCACACAAAGCAUAUAUAGGUUAAGACACACAGGAAGAUAUGAUGUUACCACCCAGCAACAGCAGGAACCAAUAAUUGGGCAGAUUCAUAGGAAUUCAUGACAUUACCUGCCAGGCACAGGGAAGAACCAAGAGGAUUCCAAACAAGCAACUUUCCCACAGUCUCUCACAAUUUCUCACAAACCUUAUCAAUCCUCCCUUUGCUGGCUACUCCAACCUUGCAGUUUCUUUCUCACAAACCUUAUCAGUCCUCCCUCUGCUGCUACUCCAACCUUGAGCACACAGCUGGGCAGGUCGUACACAGUUCAACCCACAACCCUGAUUAUGCAACCCAAGCAGGGAGAAGAGGAGGGCUUUAAUUCUUAUGGUUCUGCCUCAACUACAAUUCCCCCUUUUUGUUUUGCAACAAUAUGCGGUGUUGGGUCAGAACUUGUCCAAUCCUACCCAUGCUGGACACAAGGAGCUGGAAUAGACAGGGAAGAAGGACCAGUAACAUAACUAUAAACAUUAUGAAAGUCAAUAUGGUUAUACUCAUUUGAGCUAAAGGCGACAGCCAACUUUGGCCUGAUUUAAUCCAAUUGUAUAUAGAAUCAGCAAUAUGUUCAGGAUAAAGAUCCUCAGCUAAGGAAGUAUCCAUUUCUUCAAUAAUACGGCUCAAUUGUUGGAUGUUUUCAGAGAUAUUGCUUUUUAGCCAAAGACCUUGUAGAUCAUUUCUAAUUUUUUCAAAUGCAUCAGACUUGUUAACUUUAAUAGGAAGAAGACAAAAAGCUGAAUAACGAUAAUCACACCUUAAUUUACCCAUAAUAGCUAUAAUUUCUACUUGAUUAAUUAAUAACAAUACAUCUUUAGAUAUUUGUUGUAAAGCAUAAAAAACCCUUGUAUUAAUAUCUUGCUGUAUAUGCAAAGCUUUGGUUACAUUCUGUGCAAGCCCAUGCAAAUAUUCUGCAUCAUGUUCCAGGACACGAACAUUAGCUACACUUUGUGCUAUAGAACCACUACUGACAGUUGUAGCAGUAAGGGAGGCUAUCAAGGCUACAAUAGCUAAAACUAUGCAAGAAAUACAUUUUCUUUUUCUAGAGCUGAUUAGUUGAGAUAAUCUUUCCAUUGCUCUAACUGCAGGUGAGUGAUACCAUCCCCCUGAGUAUCUAGCUUGAGUGUCUAAUGUAACACUUCUAUUUACUGGUUUUUUCAUUAUAAGUAACAUUAACCUAAUGAGACAUAUUUACUUUAUCCAAUGCCAGGGCUAUUUUUCCAUAAUCAGUCAAAAUCUGUGUGAAAUUAGCAGAAUGUAUCCAAUUAGUUCUGGGGGCAUCACCCACAAAGGUGAGCUGUAUCCUCCUAUAAAACAAUCAUGAAAUUUAUAAGAAUCCAGUUUCUUUCCAAUACAUCUUGUGUUGUUAUACCAAUAUACCCAAAUCAUAUUUUUCCAAUGAAUACAUGAUGCCCCUUUUAGAUCUACAUGACAGCAAGGGCGGAAACAUAUUAACAGUGUCUCUUUGUUCAUAUCCCAUCACAUAUAGACAAAUAGGUCUUUCUUGUCCCCAAAUACAAUCACAAGAUUCCCCCAGCCAACCUAGAUAUUGCAGUUGGCUGUAACCUUCAUAUUUUACCCCUUUGUCUACACGAUAAGUUCCUAUCCAUAAAGAGUCUGAUAGGUCAGAAUGAUCAUAAUAAUGCACCUGCAGAGAUCUGAGGGGCAGGCAUGCAGGAUGGUCUCUUGCGAGGCACACUGGGGAUGCCUCAAUUAGUCUAGUUCCAAUUGAAAGGCACAAACAAAUUGUUGGCCUGAUGGUUGUCCUUAGCUUGUCUCUCAAAAUGAUAAAUGCCAGGAAUCAGUUAGUUUUUGUAUAUCAGAUGGCUUCCGGUAAAGCGUGUCCCAUGCUGACAUACUCUACCCAAGGUGGUUGUUCCCAAAAAACCCAUCUCUUUAUUCCAAUAGCUGCACUUAAAUUCUGGAAUAGAAGCAGAAGUCAGUAUCUUAUGGAGACGUUGUCAAGUCUCCUUGUGAGGCUUCUUGCGCCCUCCCCUUGUUCUUCUCUUUAUGGUCAAUUUCUUGAACUCAGCGAGGAGGGAGCCAUACUGCGUCUUUACCUGUGGAGACACAAACAGAAUCUCGGUCUUGUAGGACCACUGGGUGGUCCUUGCCAAGUUUGAUUAUCAUCUUUCCACAUGCCACAUUUUUGUUCUGGGUCAGGGAGCACAGGAGUGGUACCUGAAUUUCGUACAUAAGAAAAUGCAGAGAAAAAAUUUUUCAGCUCUGGAUAAAUUAUUGGAAGUAAAAAUCAAAUUAUUUAUAGUAUAUAUAGCUAUUGCCAAUCAUCAAUGUGGGGUGCUGUCUCCCCUUUUUUGUUUUAAAAGAAAUGUUUUUUAAGAUCUGAUUACUGUGCUCCACAAUAGUUUGUCCUUGUUGGCAAAAAAGAAAAAAAUGUUUGGAAGUAUAAGCAGGUCCAUUAUCUGUUUCAGGGAGGGUAAAAAUGACAGGUGAGCUACUUUCCUUCUAUACUCCUGCCUUGUAAUUAGCAUUUGCAUCAACAAAAACAUUAGGUCCUGAUACCAGACGAUCUCUUAGAAUAUGAGAAAAAACAAUAGGAUGUUGUGACAAAAAAGAAAAUAAGCUUUGUGGAAUGUAGGUGGUAAUAGCAAUAAGGUACACUAAUAGUAAAGACCAUUCGUCAUGACUUUGUAAAUAUUUCUGUAUUAUAUCUUUAGCAUUAGGUACCCGGAUUUCAUGAAGAUACUAUCCUAAACCUGAGAUCACAUGUUCUAUGCCUUUCCCAUUUUGCUUUUAGAUUUAACCAUUCAAUGACUUUUUGUUUCUCAGUUAAGGCACCUGUUGGUAACAUGAAAGUUGCAAAAAUAUUCACUUCCACGGCUAAUUGAGGCUGAUAGUGGUUAAGUGGAGCCUGAUUCAAUUUGUCUUCUACUAUCUCUAAAGCAAGAGAGGCCUCAGGUGUUAAAGUUCCAGAGAAAUUCAAAUCAGAACUCCCUUCCAGUAUUUUGAAUAAAGGUUGAAAUUCAGUUGUAGUAAGAAAUUAAUAUUACCUAACAAUUUCUGAUUAUCAUUUAAGGUAUUAAGGCAGUCCUUUCUUACAUAUAACUGAGCCCCUGAAUAGAGUACGGGACUUGUUUUUUGAAUCUUUUCUUGACUAAAUGGUAUUUUUGCAAGGUAAUUUCCAAUUAACUAUAGAACUUGCGUAUUUGAGAUUCAUCUUCAGCCGCAAUAAGAAUAUAAUCUAUAUAAUGGAUGAUGUGCAGAGCAGGAAAAUGUAGUAUUAAUGAAGGGAUGAAGCUACAUAUUGUUGGCUGAAUAAUCUUAUCAUUCUGGACAUGGAAUGUUUGCAUUAAAAUUCCACAGCUUCAAACAAGCUACUUGGUCAGACAAGGCUGGCAAAGUUUGUUUGAGCAUUUUAAAACCUCCAUUUCUACAAUUAAAAUAUACUCAUCUUAAGUUCUAUCACACAGUGGUUGUUAACUCUUUGAGGUCCUUAUUUCAGUUCAUAAGUAUCAGUGUAGAAUAAUAAUAAGCACUUCUUUCUCCUUCCUGUGUGCAAGGAAGGGGUUAAUAGCUUCUGAGAAAGUUUAUCCCAAGGCUGCUUGGCUCAGUUUAGAUUUAUUACUUAAGAGCCUUAUCUCAUCCUUCUUUAACAAGUGAGCUUACUAUAAUUUAAAAUAUUGAAUUUCUCAAACCUCUUUCAUAAUAAUUUACUCUCAGUGGAUUUUAGUUUGAAUUCCACAACUCCCAAAUAACUUUGAUUAAGUCCUUUAGCGAUGUUUCAGUGUUUAACCAAACUGAAGUACACAGCAUUUACGUGCACUCCUCUCAAAUUUCUGUCUAAAGUAGAAUAAAACCUACAGUUUAGUUUUCUUUUCACUCAAAAUAUUGCUACAUACCUGAUUAAAUUCCAAUUUAUAAUUUGUUCUAUCUAUUUAACACUAGAAUUCACAGUAUCAACUAGUAUCUCUAGCCAUUACUAUUAUUUCUUCUGGCUUCUCCUCUUUACCAUUAUUGUAAGUAGAGGAAAGGUACUAUCCUGAAUUGUAUUUAAUCCUUAUGACAAGCCAUUUUUUAUUCCAAGGCUGCAGUUUGCAUAUCAUAUACCCUUAAAUUCCUUUCUAUACAUUGUACACAUUUUAAAAGCAAUUCAUAUAACCUUAGUCAAAGACAACAACGUUUAGAAAUUUUCUCUUGCAAAAUACCAAAUUCCUAGUACUAAUAUUAUUAAAUCCCAUGAACAGAUUAAUCGCUUAAAUUUCUUGUGUGUCAUAUAAUUUUUUGUUACUAUUCCUGAUAGCACAUGCAUGAAAAUAAAUCUGAUUUGAAAAAAUCCCAAACUUAAUUUCUUGAAUAAGUUUUUCUCAACAACAUAACAACUUUUUCUGGAUGACUUUUACAUCUAUAAAGUAGCCAGAGCAAUUUUUGUCCUUAUAAAAUAAAAUAUUCCCUCUCUGAAUUAGUCUGGCUAUCAGCCACAUUUAGAUAAUUCUCAAAUUCACUGAAACCAUUAUGCAUAGCAAGAUUUAACAAAAUAAACUUCUAACCAUGAGUUUUGUUGUGCUCAAUAAAAUCUGGUUAACAUUAUUAACAUGACAAAUAGUUACUACAAUACACAAAAUUAAAUUUAGAUCAUAUCAAAAUCAUUAACGAUCCUCCCAAAUUGCAUACAUCAAACCAUUAAUCUUAAAGCAAUUCAUAUAUGAAUGAAUGAAAAAUAGCCUCUAAUUGUGGAGUAAAAAUCUCCCUUUUCCUGCUCUGAAUUUUUCUCUUUUUCGCUCCUUUGGGGGCCCAUCCAAAGGAAGAAAGAGGAAAAAAAUCAUGGAACAGGUAUUUGCUUUUGUCCUCUGCUGAGGAUUUUUGACAGGCAAGUUCAAUCUUGCAACUAUCCCAUUUUAUUUUCUUUCUUUUUGUGAGUGUCCAAUUUAAAAAUACAUAGAGAUGAGACUUUGACAAAGACAACGAUAAACAGAAACACACAACAUUGUGACAAGCAUGCUUUGAAAAAAAAUCAGUGUUUUAGGAUCCAUCCUAAAGAAAAAAUAUAAUUUUCCUCUCACCCUUAGAGUAUCUCAUAUACUCACCAAUGAGGGGAUCUCUGUAGCAUCGAAACUUUGCAUGACCAGCACACAGUGUCAGGGGUUCUCCAAAGAGAACUGAAGGGGGGGUUCCAAUAAAAGAACCGGGGGAAAGGGGUCCCUAAUAGGGGACAGUUUAGAACUAUCCGGGGACAGCUUAGAGCUGUCUGAGAGGUCACAAGAAAGAAAGAUUGGAACAUUAUCAAAGAAGGAUAAUGAACGUUUUCUCGAGAGAUACAACCUAUCCUCCCCAAUCCUCCCCAUAGUGUUAACAGGGGAGUUAACCAGUUCCUAGGAGAUCUUGGAACUGUUUGCCAAUCUUUGUCCUUUAAAAGGACAGGAAUUAAAUUACCCAUUACUGCUAAAAGAUAAACUAAAAAGUGAAAGAGAGAGACAAAGUUAGGGAACAGAGGAGGCCCGCCAAUGCGGCACUCUUAUCUCUGUUUGAUCCCCUGCACACCCGAGCUGCAGUCUCGGGGCAGAGGCCAUUAACUCUUCGUCAUCCUAUGACCAGCAAAGGAAUAGGGGUUACGAAGCAUUACGUCCCUAAAUCCGGAUGCCAUUUUUGUAAGGCUCAUUGCCAAGGUUGGCCAGCCCUGUGUGACCUCACUUGGGGUAACGAAAUGAAGAGUAACGAAUGGACGCUAUAUGAAAAUGCAUAGCGACAAAGCUUUAUUGGUUUCACACAAAGCAUAUAUAGGUUAAGACACACAGGAAGAUAUGAUGUUACUGCCCAGCAACAGCAGGAACCAAUAAUUAGGCAGAUUCAUGGGAAUUCAUGACGUUACCUGCCAGGCACAGGGAAGAACCAAGAGGAUUCCAAACAAGCAACUUUCCCACAGUCUCUCACAAAUUGUAUUCAAACAUUUGAUGGACUUCCUAGAAGAAAUAUUAGAAUUUUCCUGUAUAGCCCUAAAGGGUAGGACUCAGAAAGACCAGCUUGCUGACUGAUAAACUGAAUAAAUAAAUGGAUCAAAAAUAUUUAUUAAACCCUUAUUAAUUAAAUUACAAAGCCAAUUCAGAUCCCAUUUCCUUUUGGCUGAGUAAUAUAUAUUAAAUUCUUAUGGAAGACAUAUGAUGGUUCCUGCUUACUUUUUCAUAAAGACAACCCAAUUUUUUUUUAAAUUUUGGACCAAAAUUUAUUUAAUGAUUUCCAUAGAGCUAAAUUAUGGCUAUUUUACAACAUGAUGCAUCAAUCCACAGCAUCACAUACAGUACUGCUCUUUGUUUUGUGUUAUGAUUAAAAUUCUCUGAAGACUGUAUAUUUAUUUGUAAUUAUUUAUUAAAAGUGCAAAGUGGGUCCAUCACAUGGCUGUUUUCCAAGUUAACCCAAGUGUGCUGUCUACCUUGUGUCCUUGCUCAGUAGGUAAAGAGCUUUUGGAUUUCUUGAUCCAAACCUUAUAUCCUUAUGACAUUAAUUUUACUGGGUUAUCCUGAUUGGACAGAUUUUACUUCAGUUCAGGUCAGAGGCUGGUCUUCCAAAUACCAGCAGUCAUGUGGGACAAGAGGCAAGCAUCUUCUGAGACUCCAGGGAGCUACAAGGCUUCUGCUGGUGUCCUCCUUUGCAGAUAUACCUUAGACCUCAUUAUAAAUCUAAUCAGAGAAUGGGGGGAUGAAUGGAAACCUAGUUCAUUAGAGAAACACACCAAAAUUGAUCUUAGGAUACCAAGAAAAGGGAUACAAACUGGUGUUCAGUUCUUACAUACCCCCUCUGAUUCUUUGGAAGGCAUAGCAGUCUUCCCAGUGAAUCAUUGCAUAUAUAAUAUUGAUACAUUUCAGGAUUGUCUCACCAGGGUACAUAAGGAUCCUAAGCUAUAUAUAUUUUAUGAAGGGCCUAACUACAUUUUGCCAUUUCUUAACAUAUCAAAAAUGACUGAAAGACAAAUCGACAAGGAGCCAUUAGGGGGUAUUUACUUUUUCUGGCACAAGGGUUUUAUAGUCAGUAUAAAAUAUUCGUGUAUGGGAAGGACAGAAGUGGAUGAAUUGCCCAUUGCCCCCACAGUUCAGAUCAUUAUAAACAAAGGCUCACUCAAAGUCUCAUGAUCCAGUGUCUAAUUUCUGGGGGCAUCCUCUAUUGCUGUGAUCUUUUUAGUCUGUCUGGAAUUAUGAUGGUCCUCACAGAAUCUUUUCUGGAAGAUCUGAUUUUCUGGCCCAGGUUACUGGAGAUAUAUAUUUAUCCCUAAAAUUGCUUUAAAAAGACCUUACUCAAUGGACCUUUUUGUCCAUCACAAUCCCCACUCAGGCGAAUGAAAUAUUUCUUGGGAUCUAAUCCUACAUAUAAGCAUAUACAUAACCAGAUGAUAACACAAAAUACCAUUCUUUCAUGGUGAAUAUUCUUUUUUUAAAACCCUUACCUUCCAUCUUAGAAUAAAUACUGUGUAUUGGUUCUAAGGCAGAAGAGUGGUAAGGGCUAGACAACGGGGGUCAAGUGACUUGAUCAGGAUCACAUAGAUAAGAAGUGUCUGAGGUCAGAUUUGAACCCAGGACCUCCCAUCUCUGGGUCUGGCUCUCAAUCCACUGAGCCACCCAGCUGCCCUCCAACCCUCAUGGUUAAUAUUCUUAUAGAACAAUAGAAGACUUAGUAUACGAUGUGUGGUUAGGUUACUCACUUAAGAAUGCAUUAAAUGUCACCCAAAUAAUAUAUAAAGUAUAUUUCCCCCAAAUAAGAAAAAACAUAGAAAUAAAAAUUAUAACAAGUCUGUGCUACAUAUUCAAGGUGUAUAUCCUAAAAGCAUGUAGGUCAGGUGCAACAAUAUUGAAAUUAAACACCAUCUGUCAUAACUAGGGAAAAUUGCCACACCAAAGAAGAAAAGAAAGAGGCAUCUGAUUUCUAUACUGUACAAGGCUCAUAGGGAUAGCAAUCUGGAGUAAAGAUACAACUGCCCAAGUCAGAAGAGUCCUCCCUCAGUCAUUUCUGAACAAUUGCUCUUUCAAAUCUCCCCUGAGACAGCUCUCUCCACCUUGGAGAGUGUCCAUUGAUUAUCAACUUAUCAUCCCUGAUCAGUGGCUUAUUAACAGUUCCUUUGUAGUUUUCCUGGAAUCAGACUCAAAAUAUCAGUUAUAGUCUCAUAAGAUUUAAUCACAUAGUAGGUUUCAGUAGUCUAAGUUUUGGGGUAUGUCAUGUCAAGCUAUUAGACAUUAAAAAGAGAUCCCUUGAUACCAAGUAUUGUGUGUAAUUCCAUAAAUUCAAGUUAAAAAUCAUAAUUAAAACUAAUAAGAGAGGAAAAAAUAUCAAAAAGACCAUUUCUCAAACCCCAUUAAUGUAACAGUUAAAUGCAUUUAUUUUUUUAAUGCAGAUUGAUUCCUUAAAACUGAAAUUUAUUAUAACUCUAACAUGACCAUGAUUUUCAGUAUGCAUAUACAUAAGUUUUUCCCCUGUAAAAAGCUUGGCAUAGACUUUAUAGAAUUAAGGCAAAGUCUGAAAACUAUAAUAAUUCCUAGAAUGAAAAAAGCCCAUUUGGGCACAGUUGCUAACAAAUCUGUGCCAUGUAUCAUCAGAGGUCACAUGUGUCUCUAAUGCAGCGGUUCUCAACCUCUCAAUUUGUAGCAAUGAGAAUACAUAAUGCAUAUGAGGUAUUUACAUUCUGAAUCAUAAUGUAGCAAAAUUACAGUUUUGAAGUAGCCACCAAAAUAAUUUUUUGGUUUGGGGUCACUGCAACAUAAGGAACUGUAUUGUGGGGUCACGGCAUUAGAAAGGUUGAGAACCACUGAUCUAAUGUGAUUUUUCUGUCAUUCAAAAUUCUUCGAAGCUCAUGGACACUUUCAACAAUUUUACCUGACUUAAAUUUAUGUAAGAACAAGAUUGAUUAAUAAGAGCAUAGGCAUAUCCAGAAGUCUUGUAAGUGUAUCAAGGGCUAGCCAGUUUUUGUAUGACUGUCUUUGCCAAGGAAUCAAUAUCUUCUUGGAAGAAGGAGUUAGCUUUAGAAGUUUGGGAGGGGGCUUGGCCCUGAGCUAAUUUCUCAAAUUUGCAGAGAUAUUCCCAAUAGAAUCCAUUACUACCAGCAUCUCAAAUUUGGGCUUAGCAGUCCAGAAAUAUCUCUUUGUUGCAGAAAAAGUGGCUAUUGAAUUAGGACUAGACCUCCUGCUCAUGUAUGCCACCAGGUAUCCAUAUUCCUAAUCAUACACUUUUUUGUCCAGCCAAUAAAAUGAUUAUGCAUUGAGAUUAGUGGUGUGGUAGUGUGGGGGGUUACAUAGGUCAAACCACAGGUCUCAUACCCACCCUUGGAAGGGAAGAGUAAGCUGAGGAGUAACAGAUAUAGAGUUACCCAGGAGUCAUUACACCCUAUGCGAACUCUGUCUUCAACUGUGAUGAGGCAAUAACAGUUGUAAAAUAUAUGUACUUAUGGGACCUACCUUUUAUCCUAUUGAGCUAUGUCUUAGCACAGAUAAAUAUUGUGUUAUGGAAUCGAAUAGUGAGGUUGCAGUUCAGAUUGUCACACAUGUAUCUGAUACCCAAUGAUCCCUUACCUGUUUUGACACAUAAACCAAAGGUGGGUAAAUAGUCAGUCUGGGAGUGGGGCUCUCAUAUAUCUGAAAAUUACCUUAAUGUAUGUUAAAAUCAACCAAUAUUUGAAAAAUACGUGAUUCUUUCAAAGCCCAUUGAUAAUGAUUGUGAACAGGUUGAUGGGCUCCAUCUGUUACUAUUAAUGUGGCAACAAAGGCAAGAGGGCGAAAGGCUUGCUUGGCAAUAUAUGACCACAUGAGCUGCAAGUUGUGGCAAAGUCUCAUUUGUAUGGACUGGAAUUGUUGCCCAUGAUAAAACAGAGCUCCAAUGGAGCUGGUGACAAUAUCCAUAAGGAUCAAUGUCCUUAAUUUGGCAUAGAGUAGCCAUAGUUGUCUAUAGACCCUAAAAAUAGCAUUAUCCUUAGUCCAGUCAUCAGAAGAGAGAACAAAAGUAGAAAAGGCAAUAUGGCUUAAUGUUGAGAACAAAAUUAUACCCAAUGAGGGUAGUGUUUUUUAAAAACAAAGUAAACAAAAUUAGGAUUGGCUAUAAAAUCCCUAAUCACAAAAAGAUACGAAGAAUAAAAUAAAAGCAAAAUCAAAUCUAAAGAAAGACACACAAUGAUGUACAAUGAAAGUGACAAGAUAUAAGUUAAUCAGUGUCAAUAGAUAGUACUGAUUUUACAUGAGAGCAAUGAAUCUGAGAGUCUUUUUUCUCCAGUUUUGAUGGGAGUCAGAGUAGUGAGCAACAUUUGGAAGGGUUGGAAGCCCAAGUAGGCUGAGUCCCACCAAUUUGCUGGAAGUUUUUUAUAUAUACCUUGUUUCCUGGAUGUAUAUCAUGGAAUGAGAAGUCUAAGGGUCCAGUUUGUACUACUACCAAAGAGUCAUGAAGUUCAUGUAAUCUGACCUGUAAUUUCUAUAUAUGAGGUAACAGAGACAUCCCCUCAUAAUGAUGAUGUAUAUGCAGGGGAAAAGAUUUGGCCUGAAUAGGGGAUGUCCAAAAAGCAUUUCAAAUGGGCAGACAUGUAGAUCUCUCCUAGGUCUCCUGCACAACAAAAAUUGGGUUAAAGGAAGAAUCUCAGUCCACUUCAAGUGAGUCUCUGUGCAUAGUUUGCCAAUCAUGGUUUUAAGUUCUUUGUUCAUAUGUUAAAUGUAGUAUGGUCCCUGGAAAUGCUAGGUUGUAUGAAAUUUGAGAAUAAUUCCAAAAUAACAAUAAACCUAUGAUAAAACAAAAUUAUUAAAAUGAACACUCUUAUAUGAGUCAAUGUGGACAGGUGGGCCAAAUCGGGGAUUACAUAUCUACAAAUUUUUAAGUACCAGGGAAGGUUUUUGUCCAUUUAGUGAACUGGUACAUUAUAAGAAGACAAACCUUAUAAUGUUCAGCUUUAGUUUUUAAUUUUAGUUUUUUAAUGUUGAGAUCAUUUCACAAGUGGCUUAAGGAAUUGAUUGCAAGGCCUACAGAUAGGACAUCCUUGUUUGAAAUCUGGUCUCAGACACUUUCUAGAUCUGUGUCACUUAACCCCCAUUGCCUAGCUCUUGCUGCUCUUCUGCCUUAGAACCAAUACAUAGCAUUGAUUCUAAGAUGAAAUUAAGGGUUAAUUUUUUAAAAUAUUAAAAUGUGCAGUUAUUUUAUUUACUUGCCCUGCCAGCAGAGGGUGUGUAAACCAGAAGAUGUCCACUAAAAUCCUUAGCACAGAAAGCAUGCUAACACAUAGGAGGCUAUAUUGGCAAGACCUGGGGCCACCCAAACUCUUUUAAUGGAAUCCACAAUUCCUUGAUUACAAAAAAAGGCUACUCCUGUGAAUAGAUAAGCAUAUUAGAUGAUGGAAGCUUCUGCAAAGGAAGAGUUUUCCUUCUGAUGACACCCAAACCACACUAAUCUGCCUUGCUUUAAACAUCUGCUUCUACUUCUCCACUUCCUGUUCAUUAUAAAAGAGAAAGGGAAAUUUGGUUCAUCAUUAGAUGUCACAGUCAAAAUUAAUUCAGGUAUUGCCUUUGAUCCAGUUAUACCACUACUGGAUUUGUACACCAAAGAGAUAAUAAGGAAAAAUUUGUGUACAAAAAUAUUUAUAGCCAUGCUCUUUGUGGUGGCAAAAACUUGGAAAAUUAAGGGAUGACCUUCAAUUGGGGAAUGGCUGAACAAAAUGUGGUAUAUCUUGGUGAUGGAAUACUAUUGUGCUGAAAGGAAUAAUAAACUGGAGGAAUUCCAUGUGAACUGGAGUGACCUCCAGGAAUUGAUGCAGAGUGAAAGGAACAGAACCAGGAGAACAUUGUACAUGGAGACUGAUACACUGUGGCACAAUUGAAUGUAAUGGACUUUUCUACUAUCAACAAUGCAAUGAUCCAGCACAAUUCUGAGGGUCUUAUGAGAAAGAACACUAUCCACAUCCAGAUAAAUAUUUUAAAUUAACUCAGGUCAUUCUGAGGCCACAAGCCUUUAGCUACAGUGUUUGCCUGCUGAUGUCCUCUAAAGACAAAGUCAGUCCCUUCUGUAUGGAGAAAACAAUAAACAAUAAACAAGGCUGUGGGUAGCUGAAGAGCAGACAAGAGUUCUUUAAUGAUCUCUGCAUUCACAAUUGUUUUGCCAAGAGAAAUCACAAAUAUUCUUGGCAUCCAGAGCAUGUCAACAACAUGACAGACUCCAAAAGCAUAACUGGAGUCCAUUUUAUUAUUGCUUUCUUUCCUGCCUUCUCUCAAGGCAAUCAAUUCCACUUUCUGGGAGGUAAAAUAUGGAGGUAAUGAAGCGUUCCAGAUGACCAUGAUACAACUGCAGUGCUACUGUGGCAUAUGCCAUCCCUUAUGAAAGAAGAACCAUCAGUGUAGAGGACUAAAUCAAGGUUUUGUAAAAGUUAAUCAGGGAUAUCAUUACAGGGAUUCUCAGCCAUGUCCACUAUGGAUGUACAAUCAUAUUGUAGUUCCCCAGAGCCUGGUGAAUCAGGAAGAAAUGUUGCAAGCUCAAGGACUGUAUAAAAUUUAAGGGUGAUAGUCUCAUUCCCUUAGAAAGUGAUCUUAUACCUAGCAAGCCUUUGAUCUGAAAAUGUGUAAUUUCUUGACCUCAUAAGAGCAGAGAACAGUUAAAUGAGAACCCAGAAUUAUGUCUGAGGCUUUUUUCACCAGGAGAGCUAUGGAAGCAACAGGCUGAAGGCAGAGUGGUGAUGCUCCAGCUGACACUCAAUCCAGGUGUGCAGAAUAAUUGGCUAGCGGGCAUUAUAUGGGUUCCACAGCUUGAGUCAAAACCCAGAAGUCAUAUCCCUCUGUUCAUGUUGGUACAACAUAAAUGACUUUUUAUAGUCUGGAAUAGGAGAAGAUAGAAUGGCCUGUUUUACUUUUGUGAAAAGUGACAGGUACUAAAAUCUAAUUGAAGGGGUCAGGGACUAAAUUUUUAUGAGAGGUUCAAGGGAAUUAGAAAUUUCCCCGUAACAGGCAUCUAUUUGUCUAUAGAACUCUGUGGACCUUAAGAUUACUCUCAGUUUCCUCUUAGAAGAAGGCACAGAGAGUUACAAAAUAGCUUCAGUGUGAUUGUGGGAAAUAGAGCAGAUUUCAGUUGCUAAAAUAAAACUCAAAUAUUCCACUUUUGGAAGGCACUACUGUAGCUUUGCCCUAGAAACCUUUUAGCCUCUCUGAAAGCACUUUAAAAGGAAAUGCCUAGAACUUUCCUAGCAUGUCUAUGCAUCUAGUGCUGCUAAAAUAAAAUUCUCAACAUAUCGAUCUAAAAUAGAACCCUAAAAUAUGAUAGUAGCUAAGUUUUGCUGUAAAAUUUGAGAGCAUAAGAUUGAGUUCUCUACAUAUCACUGAGGCAAAUGAGUCCAUGCUCACUGGGAUGGGAACAUGUUCAAAUGAAAGUUAAUAUAUUCCUAGGAUUUACAUGAAUAGGAAUGGGAAAAAAAGCAGAACAAAGAUAUUUCACUGUAAUUUCACUAGGGAUUGAGGAUAUGAUGAUUGCAGGAUUUGGCACCCCUUGAUUUCUAGGUACAACAUGUGAAUUAACUGCAUGCACAUCCUGCAGAAAAUGAACCCAUCAUGGUCUGGUUUAGGAUUUUUUUUUACUGAGAGAAUUGGUAGAUUAUAUUCAGAUUUGCAUAAUAUUAAAAUCCCUUGCUCAUUCAAUGAAUCAGUUAAUAGGGAUAUCCCUUCAAUACUUUCUUUGGUAAAACGGUACUAAGGAAUGGAAGGUAAGGGACACGUUUUGUCUUAUUCUGAAGAAGAACAUCUGAUUUAAGAGGGUGAAACCCAGAGUGAUUUAGGCAGUUGUAGGGACAAAGAACCACCUGGAGAGCAUGAUUUUGUGGACUGAGUUUAUAUAAGAGCUGAGGGAUUCCCCAAGAGAUUCACAGUGGGGUUCAGCAUCAGGAUGAAUGAAUGUUCUACUGACAGAGGCCCACAGAACACAAGGUGAGGAGGAAGCAUUUCCACACGAUAAGGGGUUAAAAUUACUCCUACCAAAGCACAAGCUGAUCACCCCUCCUCCACGCCACCUACAGCACCAGAGUCAGAGCCAGUGUAGAACAAUCUCUAGGUUCUUAGGGGGUGGGUAGGGAUGGCUGAGGACACCACAGACUUACCCCUGAGAGCAGCAAGACUUAGUACCCCAGAAGGCUGAAGAAAACAGAGCUUGGGCAAAGAGAUAGGGCAGAGACGGAAUGCCCACAGCACACGUGGUGGAGACUGAAAAAUAGCCUCAGUGCAAAAACUGCUUUGUAGCUCGAAACACAGAGACCUGUCUACCCUCCUCACUCAGACUUCUCCUGGGAAGGGAAGAAAAAACUAACACAGCAAUUGCCACCAACACCCAAGAACUACAAUCUACAACUACCAAAAAGAAAAAGAAAGAAAGAAAGAAAGAAAGAAAAAAAACUCUGACCCUGUAUAACUUCUAUGGGGAAAAACAGCAGACUCCAGAGGAGAUAGCAGAGGGUGACAAACAAGAAAACACAUUCAAACUUUUAAAAAAUGGAAAUUGAUCACAAGCUCUCUAGGAAAUCAAAUUGGAGUUCAAGAACCAAGUAACAAAGAUAGGAGAAAUUUGGCAAGAAAAGUGAGAAAUAGUUCAAAAAAGAAAAUAACAGGUUAAAAGACAGACUCUCCCACUUGGAAAAAGAAGCCCAGAAUUCAAAUGAAACUAUAAACAAAUAGGAGGCCAGAAAUGACCUGAUGAUUAAAAGCAGGACAGACCAAAACAAAAAGGAAAAAUCAAAAGAUCAUAGCUGAAAACCAGACUUUCAAAACUAGAAUUGAGCAACUAGAAGCUAAUGAUCUCACAGACAGCAAGAAUUAAUAAAGCAAAGUAAAAAGAAUGACAAAGUAGAAGGAAACAUGAAAUGUCUCAUUGAGAAGACAAUUUAUCUGGAAAACAAGCCCAGGAGAGACAAUUUGAGAAUCAUAGGUCUAUCUGAAAACCUACAAAUGAACAGAAACCUUGACAUCAUUCUACAAGAAAUUAUCCAAGAAAACUGCCCUGAUAUUCUUGAACAAGGGCAAAAUAGACAUUGAAAGAAUCCAUAGAGCACCCCCUACAUUAAAUCCCCAAAAGAAAACCCCCAGGAAUAUAAGUGCCAAAUUUAAGGGCUUCCAAGCUAAGGAGAAAAUAUUGUGAGAAGCCAGAAAGACAAUUCAGAUAUCAAGGAGCACCAAUCAGGAUUAUAUAGGAUUUUGCAGCCUCCACCCUAAAGGACCACAAGGCUUAGAAUAUGAUAUUCAGAGAGGCAAGAGAAUUGGGUCUAUAACCAAGGAUCACCUACCCAUCAAAACUGACUAUAUAUUUCUAGGGAAAAGUAUGGGCAUUUAACAAAAUAGAUUUCCAAGUAUUUGUAAAGAAAAGACCAGAACUAAAUGGAAAAUUUGAUGUCCAAAUCAAAAAUUCAAGAGAAACAUGAAAAGGUAAACAAGAAAGAGGGGGAAAUUUUUUGAAGGGCUUUAGUAAGGCCAAAUUGUUUAUAUUCCUAUAUGGAAAAAUUAUAUUUGUAACUCUCAAAAACUAUAGUACUUAGAAGAAUUAUUCAUAGGUAGAAGGUGGAGUACUAAGUAGUUUAAGUUGAUAUGUAAAAGAAGAAAGCAGGGGGAAAUAGAUGGCACCAAGAGAAACUUGAAGGAAUAAGAAAAAUAGUAUAAUGUAUACCAUAUAAAGAGGUGCAUGGGAGGGGGAGGGGAAGAAUGUUGUUUUAAGAAGGAAAGGAAGAGAAUACUAAUAGGUAAUACUUAAACCUCACUCUCAGUGGAAUCAAUUCUGAGAGAGAAGAGCAUCUAGCUCUACUGGGGUAUAGAAUUCUAUGUUACUCUACAGGGAAGUUAAGAGGGGAAAACAAAAGGGAGGGACAAGGAGUACCAAAAAGGAGGCAAAGAGAGGGGAGAGGGAAUUUAAUAGACCCUAAAGAAUGAGAGGGGAAUAAUAAAGGAGGGGAUAGAAAGGGAAGUUAAAUAAGAGUGGGAAUUAAAGGGACUGAUUAAAAGCAAAACACUGGUAUAGAAGGAAAUAGUGAAAGAAAGGGAAAGACUUAAGAGGGGAAAUAAAAAUGAUGGGGAAUACACAGGUGGUAAUCAUAACUUUAAAUGUGAAUGAUAUGAAUUCACCCAUAAAAUAGAAACAAAUAGCAGAGUGAAUUAGAAACCAAAAUACUACCAUAUGUUGUCUACAAGAAACACACAUGGCUGGUAGACACACACAAGGUAAAGGUAAGAGGCUGGAGCAAAAUCUAUUGGGCAUCAACUGAGAAAAAGAAGACAGGAGUUGCAAUCAUAAUAUCUGUCAAAAGCAAAGUAAAAUAGAUCUGAUUAAAAGAGUCAGGGAAAGUAAUUAGAUCCUGAUAAAAGGCAGUAUAAACAGUAAGGAAAUAGAAGUACUCAACAUGUAUUCACCAAGUGGUAUAGCAUUCAGAUUUUUAAAGGAGAAACUAGUGGAGCUUAAGGAGGAAAUAGAUAGUAAAACUAUACUAGUAGGAGACCUGAAACUACCUCUAUCAGAUCUAGAGAAAUCAAAUAAAAAAAUAAACAGGAAAGAGAUAAGAGAUGUGAAUGAAAUCUUAGAAAAAUUGGAGUUAAUAGAUAUUUUGAGAAAAAUAAAUAGGGACAAAAAAGGAAACACCUUUUUAGCAGCACAUGGUACAUUCACAAAGAUUGACUAUGUGUGGGCAUAAAAACAUAGUAAACAAAUGCAGAAAAGAAAUAACAAAUGCAAUCUUUUUAGAUCAUAAUGCAAUAAAAAUAAUAAUUAGCAAGGGUAUAUGGAGAGACAAACCAAAAAUUAAUUGAAAAUUAAAUAUGAUUCUCCAAAGUCAGUUUGUUAAAGAAUAAAUCACAGAAACAAUUAAUAAUUUAAUUGAAAAGAAUGACAAUGAUGAGACAUGAUAUUAAAAUCUAUGGGAUGCAGCCAAAGCAGUACUCAGGGGGAAAUUUAUAUCCCUGAGUGUAUAUAUUAACAAGUUAGGGAGGAAAGAGGUCAAUGAAUUGGGCAUGCAAAUUAAAAAACUAGAAAGAGAACAAAUUAAAAAUCCCCAGAUGAAAACCAAAUUUAAAUCCUAAAAAUUAAAGGAGAAACUAAGAAAAUUGAAAGUGAAAGAACUAUUGAAUUAAUAAAUAAGACUAGAAGGUGGUACUUUGAAAAAAACAAAUAAAAUACAUAAAGUACUAAUUAAUUUAGUUAAAAAAGGAAAGAAGAAAACCAAAUUAAUAGUAUCAGUGAUGAAAAGGAAAAUCUCGCCUCUAAUGAAGAGGAAAUUAAGGCAAGCAUUAAAAACUACUUUGCCCAAUAUGACAAUAAAUAUAGCAAUCGAGGUGAUAUAGUUGAAUAUAUACAAAAUGUAAAAUGCCUAGAUUAACAGAAGAAGAAAUAGAAUACUUAAAUAAUCCAAUAUCAGAGAAAGAAAUUGAACAAGACAUCAAAGUACUCACUAAGAAAAAUUCCCCAGGGCCAGAUGGAUUCACAAAUGAAUUCUAUCAAACAUUCAAAGAACAACUAAUCCCAACAUUAUACAAACUAUUUGACAAAAUAAGCAAAGAAGGAGUUCUACCAAAUUCCUUUUAUGACACAAAUAUGGUACUGAUUCCAAAGCUAGGAAUACAAAAAACAGAGAAAGAAAACUGCAGACCAAUCUCCUUAAUGAACAUAGAUGCAAAAAUCUUAAAUAGAACACUAGCAAAAGGACUCCAGAAAGUGAUCAUGAUUCACUACGAUCAGGUGGGUUUUAUAUCAGCAAUACUAGCAUCAUUUAAUAUUAGGAAAACUACCCAUAUAAUUGACCACAUCAACAACUAAAACCACAGAAAUCACAUGAUUAUCUCAAUAGAUGCAGAAAAACCUUUGACAAAAUAUAAUACUCAUUCCUAUUGAAAACACCAGAAAUUAUAGGAGUAGAAGGGCCUUUCCUAAAAAUAAUAAGCGGUAUAUAUUUAAAACCAUCAAAAAACAUUAUCUGCAAUGGGGAUAAAUUAGAAACCUUCCCAAUAAUAUCAGGAGUGAAACAAGGAUGCUCAUUAUCACCUCUAUUAUUUAACAUUGUACUAGAAAUACUAGCAGUGGAAAUCAAAGAAGAAAAAGAAAUUGAAGGUAUUAAAAUAGGCAAUGAGGAGACUAAACUAUCACUCUUUGCAGAUGAUAUUUUGGCCUACUUAAAAAAUCAUAGAGAAUCAACCAAAAAGCUAGUAGAAAUAAUCAAAACUUUAGCAAAGUAGUAGGAUACAAAAUAAACCCACACAAAGCAUCAGCAUUUCUAUAUAUUUCCAACACAUCCCAGCAGCAAGAGUUAGAAAGAGAAAUUCCAUUUAAAAUCACCCUAGAUAAUAUUAAAUAUUUAGGAAUCUAUUUGCCAAGACAGGUAUUAUAUGAACAUAACUACAAAACACUUUUCCAACAAUUAAUGCUAGAUCUAAACAAUUGGGAAAACAUUGAUUGCUCAUGGGUAGGACAAGCUAAUAUAAUGAAAAUGACAGUCUUACCCAAAUUAAUUUACUUAUUCGGUGCCAUACCUCUCAAACUACCAAGAAACUUUUUUACUGAAUUAGAAAAAAUUAUUAUAGAGUUCAUUUGGAAGAAUAAAAGAUCAGAAACAUCAGGGAAAAUAAUGGAAAAAAUGUGAAGGAUGGGGGCCUAGCACUAUCAAAUCUUAAACCAUACUUUAAAGCAGUGGCCAUAGAAACAAUAUGGUACUGACUAAAAGACAGGAGAGAGGAUAAGUGAAACAAACUUGGGGUAGAUGACCACAACAAGACACUUUAUGAGAAACCCAAAUAUCCCAGCUUUGGGGACAAAACCCCACUAUUUUAUGAAAAAUACUGGGAAAAUUAGAGAACAGUGUGGGAGAGAUUAGGUUUAGAUCCAUGUCACCCAUCCUACACCAAGAUAAAUACAGAAUGGGUGGAUGACAAAUAUAAAGAAGGAAACUAUAAGUAAAUUAGGUGACCAUAGAAUAGUUUGCCUGUCAGAGCUAUGGGAAAGGAAAGAUUUUAAGCCCAAGCAAGAAAUAGAGAAUAUUACAAAAUGUAAAAUGAAUAAUUCUGAUUACAUUAAAUUAAAAAGUUUUCUUACAAACAAAACCAGUGCAAUCAAAAUUAGAAGGGAAGCAACAAAUUGGGAAAAAAAUCUUUACAACAAAAACCUUUGACAAAGGUCUAAUUACUCAGAUUUAUAAGGAGCUUAAUAAGUUGAACAAAAAAAAAUCAAGCCAUUCCCCAACUGAUGAAUGGGAUAGGGACAUAAAUUGGCAAUUUUCAGAUAAAGAAAUCAGAACUAUCAAUAAGCACAUGGAAAAAAGUGUUCUAAAUCUCUUAUAAUUAGAGAAAUGUAAAUCCGGACAACUCUGAGGUAUCACCUCACUUCUAGCAUAUUGGCUAAAAUGACAGCAAAGGCAACUAAUAAAUGUUGGAGAGGAUAUGGCAAAAUCAGAACAUUAAUGCACUGCUGGUGGAGUUGUGAAUUGAUCCAACCAUUCUGGAAGGCAAUUUGGAAAUGUGCACAAAGGACAUUAAAAGACUGCCUGCCCUGUGAUCCAAUCAUACCCUGCUGGGUUUAUACCCCAAAGAGAUAAUAAGGAAAAAGACUCUACAAAAAUAUUUAUAGCUGUGUUCUUUGUGGUGGCAAAAAAAUUUGGAAAAUUGGGGAAUGGGUGGACAAAUUAUGGUAUCUAUUGGUUGUGGAAUGCUAUUGUGCUAAAAGGAAUAAUGAAUUCCAUGUGAACUGGAACAACCUCCAGGAAUUGAUGCAGAGUGAAAGAAGCAGAACCAGAAGAACAUUAUACAUAGAGAUGGAUACACUGUGGCACAAUCAAAUGUAAUGGACUUCUCUACUAGCAGCAAUGCAUUGAUGCAGGACAAUUCUGAGAGACUUAUGGGAAGGAAUACUAUCUACAGUCAGAGAAAGAACUGUGGAAUAGAAACACAGAAGAAAAACAACUGCUUGAUCACAUGGUUUGAUGGGAUAUGAUUGGGGAUAUAGACUCUAAAAGAUCAUCCUAGUAUAAAUAUUAAUAUAGUGGAAAUACGUCUUGAUCAAUGACACAUGUAAAACCCAGUGGAACUGCUCAUUGGUUAGGGUGAGGGGAGAGUAGGGGAGGAAAAGAACUUGAAUCUUGUAACCAUGGAAAAAUGUUCUAAAUUAAUUAAUUAAAUAAAUAAACUUAAAAAAAGAAUAUGGUUUGCUCACUAACACCUAUCUGAAAGACCCAGUGUCCAGGAGGCAAUCAUCAUAAGUUAUAAUCCCCAAUCUUAAGGGUUACAUGAGGUUCUUUACUAGGGGGAGGAGAGUAAACUGGAAUAAUGGCAAAUAGAGCAUCAUGAGCAGGAAAGUAAAUCCCCAAAUUCAGAUUUUAAAGCUCUUUCCCACCUACAUGCACACACUUUCACAAAUCAUGAUUCCUCUGGCAUUCCCCACUAUGACUGAAUUUCCUUAGAGUGGUACCAUGGUUGGCAUCAAGAGAAGAAUGAGCCCUGUUUAUGUCUCUAUUAUUGUUCCAAUUUCUAUUUCUAAAUUCCUUAUUUUUCCUCCCAUAUUUUGAUGCUACAUGCCUGAACUGCCACAGAAAAACAAGCAACAUAUUGACUCUCUAAUUUCAAUGUUGUAAUCUGUUGCCUGAGUCAGAGACUUAGUGGCUUUUCAUAAAGGAGCUAUGAAUUCCUCAACUGCAAAUGUUAAAAUAGGAGCCUAGAUAUAUGUCUUUCUCUAUCCUGUUUAAUUUUUUCUAAUUUUUCCUUUUCCUCUUUCUCACACCCUUCAAAAACAAAUUGCUUUGUUCCAUAUUCAUAAUAGCCCAGUAUGGACAAUGCUUGUGAAUUUUUUUUUGGGGGGGGAGGAGUAGCUCACAAAAUGAUGCCAUAUGAUAAGAAUAUUUGUGGGCUUAAUGGGCUCUAAACCAGCAUAUCUUUUGGCUGCCAUGUAUAGUCUAUCAUAAAACUGGUUGGGAUGUUCAUUUUCUUUUUGAUUAACAUGAAAAUUUUUCCAGUUUUCUGGGAAAAUUGUGCAGUCUCUAAUUCCUUUUAACCAUGCCUCUGUGGCAUCAUAUAACCUCACAUUGUCUUCAGGAUUAUUUGGGUCCCAUUGUGGAUCCUGUCAUGGCCAAUGUUUCCCUUCCUCAUUUUGAGAGUUAUUGCUGUUGGCCUCAAAACUUGCCCAUCUUUCUCACUCAGUGCAUUAGGUACAUUACAUUACACCAGCUUAGUUUAAACUCCCUAAAAAUGGCCACACUAAGUAUGACUGAUUCCUGGCUUCAUUGUGUAUAUGAGUUUCCCUUAGCUACAACUUCUGAGUAAUGUGGCUUUGCACCCUGGAUUAUGAGGGAUAGAAUUGUUUUCAGGUCAGGUGUUGUUUCUUCUUUGUAUUUUCAAUAGUCAUAGCACUUGUUUUUGUUCCUCUCAUUAGCUUGCUGUUUUUCAUAAUUACUGUUGUUAUACACUCUAUUUUGUGAUCUUUGAUAUUGAUAAUUUCCAACCCUGUUGUAUCCUUGCUCAGAUUUGGUUUUCAUUGGGCAAAAUCAAGUUACAUGGCCCAUUUUGUUACAUAGAAAACGCUUCCUAGUAUCUCUUUGUCCCCUUUGUUGGUACUGUGAAUUCUGUUGUGGGAAUGUUCUAAUUGUGGCCAAGUUUUUGACCUCUUUUAUUUCUUUUUGUUUUAAAGUUUCUUUGGUUUUCUGCAACUUUUGCUUUAAUCCGUCCUUUUCUUUGUCUUGCUCUUCCUGUGUUUCAAAUAAGUAAGUGGCUGAGUCCCUAAGUUCUGCCAGAGAAAGAGAUUCCUAUUUUGGGCAGUAGUUCCAAAAAAUUUCUAAGGUGUUGUGUACAGCCUUUGAGAAAUUGCAUCCUUACAUGAGCUAUGGAUUCUUGGGAGUCUUGGCUAUAACCAAGGUAGCUUCAGCAUUUUCAAGAAGUCUGUCAAUAAACAGAGAAGGGUGUUCUUUCUUCUCUUGUUGUAAUUUACCAAAUUUCCCUCACGCAUUAGGCCUAUCACAAAAUGAUCUAAUUGCUUGUAAUAGGUCUUCCCUAGCUUUCUUGAGAUAUGUCAUGUUCAGUGAUCUUACAAAUCGAAGUCUUUGUACACUUCUGGACAGCUGGUUAAGUUAUCAUCUUGGCGGGCUUUAUCAAUGAACUUCUUGUGUUUCUGGGGUGUAAAAAGUUCAGAGUAGGAUUUCUACAUCUAUGAAGUAAGGUUCAUAUAGUCUAAAUGCUCUUUUUUAAAUCUCCUUUAGCAUUUAAAUGGUUCACUUAUAAAUCUGGGCAUCCUGCAUUUCAGUGAAUCCAAGUCCUGUGUAGUAAAAGACUUGUGUGCUUUAGUAUGUAGUAUUCCUGAGUCAGGUGUUAGUUUGGCAAUAUCUAUGAGAGGCAUGAUUUUAUGUGUCCCCAGGACUUCCUCAGGUUCAUAGCUAGUUUCUUUAUCCACCAUAACUUUUUUGUUACAUACUGAAAUUGCUAUUGCUGUUGGUACAUUGGAUGCCUCAGUGCCCUUUUUCAAGUCUGUGUUAUCUGUAACCAUUUCUCCAGUCACUCUCUCAGUAUCAUUCCCUAGGUUUCCAUUCUUCCUUAUUCUGUAUUCUUGACAUAUUGCAAUUAUUAUUGGUAUUUGAGAAAACAAUGUUUCUAGCCUAUUGUCCAUUAUCUUAUUUAUAGCCUUCUUUCCCAAGAUUACUUUGAUUCCUUUUGUAAUUGAUGUGCUUGCCUUUCCUAUAGCUACUAAGGAUACAUAUACUUGUAAAAUCUGCCAUAGUCUGACAAAGGUUUAAUUACUCAAAUUUACAAAGAGCUAAAUCAAUUGUACAAAAAAUCAAGCCAUUCUCCAAUAGAUAAAUAGGCUAGGGAUGAAUGAAUAGGCAGUUUUCAGAUAAAGAAAUCAAAACUAUUAAUAGGUGCAUGAGAAAGUGUUCUAAGUCUCUUAUAAUCAGAGAGAUGCAAAUCAAAACAACUCUGAGGUAUCACCUCACACCUAGCAGAUUGGCUAACAUGACAGCAAAGGAAAGUAAUGAAUGCUAGAGGGGAUGUGGCAAAGUAGGGACAGUAAUGCAUUGCCUGUGGAGUUGUGGAUUGAUCCAGUCAUCCUGGAGGGCAAUUUGGAACUAUGCCCAAAGGGCAAUAAAGGACUGUCUGCCCUUUGAUCCAGCCAUAGCUCUUCUGGGUUUGUACCCCAAAGAGAUAAUAAGGAAAAAGACUUGUACAAGAAUAUUCAUAGCUGCACUCUUUGUGGUGGCCAAAAAUUGGAAAAUGAGGGGAUGCCCUUCAAUUGGGGAAUGGCUGAACAAAUUGUGGUAUAUGUUAGUGAUGAAAUACUAUUGUGCUAAAAGGAAUAAUAAAGUAGAGGAAUUCCAUGGAGACUGGAACAAUCUCCAGGAAGUGAUGCAAAGUGAAAGGAGUAGAACCAGGAAAACAUUGUACACAGAGAUUGAUACACUGUGGUACAAUCGAAUGUAAUGGACUUCUCCAUUAGUGUCAAUGUAAUGUCCCUGAAUAAUCUGAAGGGAUCUAGGAGAAAAAACACUAUCCACAAGCAGAGGAAAAACUGUGGGAGUAAAAACAGCCAGAAAAGGCAACUGCUUGAGUACAGGGGUUGAGGAGAUAUGAUUGAGGAGAGACUCUAAAUGAAUACUCUAAUGCAAAUACCAACAACAUGGGAAUGGAUUCAGAUCAAGGACACAUGUGAUACCCAAUGGAAUCCCACAUCAGCUAUGGGAGGGGUGGCAGGAGGGGGGGAGGAAAAGAAAAUGAUCUUUGUUUCCAAUAAAUAAUGUUUGAAAAUGACCAAAUGAAAUAAUGUUUAAAAGUAAAAAAAAUAAAGAAAAAAAUUAAAAACAACAACAACAAAAAAAUAAAGACCUACUUCCCCUUUAAAAAAAAAUCUGCCAUAGUGUAGAUAAUUCAAAUGGCAGUUUAUGCCAGUAUUUAUUAAUACUGAAUAUAGUAUCAAUAGUGUCAUUUAUCAUGUCAGUUAUUAUAUUAUAGAUGAAGUAAUAUCCCCAAUAUUCCAGGAUAGUUCCCACCAACAUAAUCCAGAACAGCUUUUGGAUCAUUGUUGUUUCUUAUGUGACUUUUUUUUCUCUUUUGUUUCCUGUGUGCUAACUCCCUAUAUGCUGUCUCUUAAAAUGGCUGCCCUGCCCAGACAGUUCUAACUAUCAAAGAAUGGCAAUUGGUGCUGAAUCCUUCUAAGAUCUGGGGUGCCAUUUGUAAUAGAUGGUAAAAUGGGGAAGAUUUUGUGAUAAGGGGAAAAGGGUGAUAAAAGGAAUGGUGUCUUCUCCUCCUCUAAGGCUGCCUUCAGCUUUGACUGGUGGGUUCUAUGAAGGAUUAGAUUGAAGAGAAUUAUGGUGGUAAGUUCUCUUCUUUUUGGGGAGAGAAAGUCAUCUCUUUCCCCUUUACUCUCAAGUUUCCUUCUAUUAAUAUUUGAGUCAGUUCUUGAGUCUUUCUUUAAAAUUUAUUGGAGGGAAACAGAAAAAGGUACAGGGCAAAUGGAGGAUAAAAAUUUAGUGUUCAGGAAGGAAGGAAGGAAGGAGGGAGAAGGGAUCCCUAACUAGCUAAUAUCCUUCCCCCAAAGUCAAGCAGAUCAGGUUGGGUUCACCUGACCCCUUCGGGUCAGAAUAAUGAGGACUGGUUCUUGGCUACACAGUAAGUGUCCCAAGUUCAGAUUCAAAGGAAGUAGAUGGAAAAAUCUUCUUUGUUGGACAGUUCAUUUUUCAAAGUCCUGUCCAAUAAGUUUAUCUACUGGUGCGAUCUGAGUUAGGAAUCACAGAGAGAAGAUCACUGGAUCAAGGAGCCAGUUGGAGCUACUUAUCUGGUCUAUGUGUGAAUUUUAAAACCACGCCACCCUACUCAGGCCAUACUUUAGAAGAUCUGAUUUGGCUAUUUCCUAAUUAGUAACAAUGGAGAUACUUGGUUUAACAGAAUCAAGUCUUGGGAACUAUACAUUUCUCCACCCUACUCAGUUUAAGAAGAUCAGGAUUGCUUGCAUCAUACUCAAAGAUAUAAUUAUCUGAGGAAAUGGCUUUCAACAGACAUGUGCAGAAAAAAGCAGACAGACCUCUGGGCUGUCCUAAGUCAAGCUAAGCUAUCAAUGGUCCAGCUGAGACACAGGAAAGUGAUGUAAAACCAUUUAUAUAAGGCACAUCACUUGCUCUCUUUCCCUCCUUUCCUGGAGAGGCGUCUCUGGCUGGCAGCAUGCUAAGUGUUCUGACAUCUUGGCUUGGUGGCAGCUAUUUGUCUGGGUUUGGUGGUGAGUUUGCCCUUGAGCUGAUUCAGGCUCAGACAUCUUGGCUGAGCCCUUUUGGUGUCACGCUGAUUCCUUCCUCCUUACUUUCUAAAGCCUCUGGUCUUCUUUCUGGCACUAGGCAGGAGGGAGAAAUCCUACUCCCUUUCCUUCUUCCUUCUUCUUAAUCUCUUUCCACUAUAUCAAAUAAAUCACCAUAAAUUUACAGCUGACUUGGGUAUUUUAUUAUUUGGGAUUUUCCCUGGCAACCAAUUAAAUUUUGAUUUUAAGUCACAAUGCUAAAAUUAUCUUUAUAGUUUUGGCUGACCACGUCAGUUGUGAUGAAAUACCCUCAAUCUUAACUUUCCUAAAACUUUUCUCUACUGUGACUAAGUUCAGCUUUUAAUAACUUAUUUUGAUCAGUUGUUGAGGUAAGUAAAUUUGGAAUUUUUUCCCUCUCUCCUUAAAUUAGAUAAAAUAUAUCUGUUUUUCCUUUUUUUUUUGUCCAAAGUGGCAGGACUGAGAAAGCUGUUUAGCUACAAAUCCCCUUUCCCUCAGGGAACAACUGUCCAGAUCACUCUUAAUUAGGAGUGAAGGGAAUCUAAAGAGAGUUUUUGCCUUUGCCCUGCUCCCCACAUGUUUUGUGAAGCCUGCUAGGAAAAUAAUUUAUAUAUAUAUAUAUAAAUGAAUACUACAUUCUUUGACAUUUAUAUGGUGGUUAAAGAAUUAGGGACAUUGAGGAAUUCAGCAUACCUCCAAUUUUUUAUAUUAUUAGGUAAUGUCAUUUUUGUACUCAGUACUGUGUUUAGGGAUGCUAACAUAAAAAAAGUUUGAAGCUGAAAUUCAGAAAAACACAAAAUUAUGAAGCUAAAAUUAUCCAAGAAUCUGAAGCUAAAUUACAGAAAACUAUGCAAAAAUCUGAAGAUAAAACACAGCAAACAUAAAAAAACAUGAAAUAUAAAACACAGGAAAAUAUUUAAAAAUUUGAGGUUGAAAUGCAGGAGAACAUACAAUCCAAUUGGAUGAUCUAAAAUGUUUUUUACAGAAUCAAUUGGAAAAUAUCCACCCCACCAGAAACAGGUCUGGAUAUGACAGACCUGUUUCUGAAACUCUAAAUGAGGAAAUUUCCUUCUCCGAAAUAGCGAUGGAAAACACCUUCUCUAUAGCUUAGUUAACAGACUUGUUCUCUCAUGAUCUGAAAAUUUUAGCUGAACUUAAUCCCCAAGAACCUUCCCCUGCAAUCCCAGUUUCUCAUGUUCCUCCUCCUACACAAAACCAAAUUCCAGCCCAAAAGAGAUCUUGUCCUAAAGAAACUCAUCUUAGUCAAACUGAUCCACAGAUACCAAAUUCAAUUAGAGGUCUGUUUCCUCUAAGAGAAGUACCUGAAAUAGGACAGAAUGGGGAUUUGGUGACUUUAAGGCACAAUAUACUGUUUGCUCCCCAAGAAAUAAAUGAAUUUACAUGAAAUAUCCCUACAUAUGAACAAGAUCCCUUUCUAGUAACAAAAAAGAUGACAGACAUAUUUUUUCAGUAUAAUCCAUCCUACAAGGAUGUUGAAAAUUUGCUACAGGCUUUUUUAACUGAACGUGAGAAAAAUAAAAUAAGUGCUCAUGUCAACAAAACAUGGGGGCACAAUGUAGCAUAUUGGCCAUCUCAGGAUCCCAAAUGGGACUAUAAUGACUCUGAGGAUCUUUUACAACUAUACCAUUGUAGAGAGGCCAUCCUAACAGAAAUGAGGGAGUGUGCAGACAGUACAGAUAAGUGGACAGAAUUUGAAAAGAUUAAGCAAAAUGAGGAAGAGACACCCUCCAGAUUCAUGGACAGAACAAUUGAGUUUGUGGGUAGAUACCUGGAUUUUGACUUAUCUAAAGAAAAUUGUAUAAGACAAGUUAGAAGACUCUUUGUCAAUAACUCUUGCAAAGUGAUUAGGGUUUAUUUUAGAACACAUUGCCCAAGAUGGCCAGAGAUGGACCUUGAAGAAUUGCAGAAAACAGCUCUAUAUGUUUCAAAGGGAAACAAAGAAAAGGAGGAAGAAAAUAAUGAUGUCUUAGAGGAAAUAAAGAAAGAAUUGAGAUGUUUAAAAGAUAAAAUGACUAAAACAGAAAGUGGGCAUGAUAAUCAACCAAUGACACUUGCCCCUCUCCAGGAAUCUAAUUAUUGAUCCAUUACCUGCCAAUUCUGUGAGAAGAAAGGCCACAAAAUGAUAGAGUGUAUAACUUUACUCAAGAUUAUCAGGAGGAAUAUGAAGUUUAAUAACAACUACAGAAGCAAUAAUGAUAGAAAUAACUAUAAUAAUGAUAAUGGAAACCACAACUUUAGGAAUGAUAACUAUAGGAAUAGAUAGAUAUUGGAAAAAUGAUAACUCAAACCAAAUGAGUCCACAUGAUAACUCAAGCCAAAUGACUCCACAGCAAUAUAACUUAAGUGGUGCUUGUCCAAAAAAUACUCGAGGUGUUAAUGCCCCUCAAGGGAGUUCCCUUCAGAGGGGUGCCCAAGGAACUUCCCAAAUACAAUGAAAGUAUGUGUGUGUGUGGUGCUGGGGCAUAGGAAUCAGAGGAUACAACCUUUGAUUUUCUGGACCCUGAUAUCCUACUACCAGUUGUCCCUUUCUACUUCCCCCCCAAACUAAUGAACCCCAUGUUACCUUAAAGGUGGGUAACACCUAUUAUGAUUGUCUUUUGGACACUGGAGCCUCCAGGUCUAUAUUAAAGAGUACACCUGAUUUACAUUGUUAUUCUGUUGGCUCAGAGAAUGUAAUGAGAGUGUUAGGAAUACUCCAAAGGGUUAAAAAACUUUCCUCUAGAAUGGUGUCUGUAGGACCCCUACAGGUACAACAUUUCUUCCUUUUGAUGCCUGAUUCACCUUUAAUUUUUCUGGGGAGAGACCUAUGCAAACUUAGAACCACAAUAACUUGCUCCCCAGAUGGUUCUUUAUCAUUGGAAGUUCCUGAAGAAGCUUUAAAUUUACUCCCUGUAAUUCUCUCAGAGAGUCAGUAGGGGAAAGAGCAUCCCACCUUUGUAAUACCUAAAGAUAUACUGGAGUCUCUUUGGGCCACAUCUUCUUCCGAUGUACGCUUACUUAAGUUAGCUGUUCCUGUGCAGAUAGAAAGUAAAUCUAACCCAUCUCCUUCCAUUUCUUAAUAUUCCCUCUCAAAAGAGGCAAUAGAGGGUAUUACCCCAGUAAUAAACUCAUUAAUUGCACAGGGAAUAAUAAUCUCUUGUAAAUCUGAAUAAAACACGCCCAUCCUGCCUGUUAAAAAACCAAAAAGGGGGCCCGAUGGCAUGCACCUCUAUAAAUUUGUACAGAAUAUGAGGGCUGCGAACAAUCAUGUUAUAAAAAGACACUCCGUAGUUUUCAAUGUCAGUACUAUUUUUCCUCUAUUCCUAGCACAGCUAAAUACUUUACUGUAGUGGACUUGUACUCAGCCUUCUUUUCCAUACCCAUACAUGAGAACUCAAGGCAUAUCUUUGCUUUCACCUGACAGGGCUGCCAGUACUCCUGGAGUCAUUUGCCACAGGAUUUCGUAGAUAGCCCGAGCUUCUUUGCACAAAUUUUGAGCCAAGAUACAUAUAAUAUAAAAUUUAAAAAGAACAAAUUAAUCAAAUACAUAGAUGAUCUACUCUUGGCUUCAACAGAUGCAGAAGCAUGCCAGGAAGAUAGUAAACACAUUCUUUUGGAAUUGCACAAAAGAGGGCAUACAAUCUUGAAGGAUAAGGUUCAGUGGUAUCUCCCCAAAGUAGAAUAUUUGGGGUUCAUUCUGACAGCUGGUGCCCAUUCUAUUUCUCCCAAUCUAUUGAAAAAUAUUCAAAAAUUGAGUACUCCUACCACUAAGAAACAGUUAAGAGCAAUUCUGGGAGCAACAGGGUUUUGCAGACAAUGGAUUCCUUGCUAUGGGGAAAUUACUAAACCCCUUAUAGCACUAACAAGGGAUUUGGUCCCUGAACCCCUCAAAUUAGAACCAGAACACCUGUCAGCUCUAUCAGACCUAAAACAGGCUAUCCUGUCUGCCCCUGCUCUAGGCAUCCUAGAUUACAACAAGCCAUUUAAUUUGUAUGUACAUGAGUGAAGAGGGGUAGCUUCAGGUGUUUUAUCUCAGACUUUGGGCCUUCUCACUGCCCAAUUGCUUACUAUUCUGCCCAACUGGACCCAGUAGCAUCAGGAGCACCACCAUGUCUUAGAGGAGUAGCUGUUACAGCCUUACUAGUGACAAAAACUGUUGAUCUAGUAUUGGGAUGCCCACUAAUAAAUAUGUGCCCACAUGAGGUAGAAGCAUUGUUGCUAAGGCAUAGAACACAGGCAUUCUUGGAUCAGCGAAUUACAAGGUAUGAAAUAACCUUGUUAAAUAGCAAAAACAUUACCUUGAAAUGCUGUACAAUCCUUAACCCUGCCACCUUGCUUCCAGAUUUACCAAUUUCAGGAGAACCAUUACAUAGUUGUGAAACACUAGUGUCCAUGGCAGAAAAACCUCGAGAUAAUCUCUUGGACACUCCCUUAGACAAUCCAGAUCUGGUCUUAUUUACUGAUUGUUCCUCUUUUAUGAGGGUUGGCAUAUGCUACACUGGAGCUGCUGUAGUCACAGAAUUUGCCACUGAGUGGUCAGCUUCACUGCCCUCUAAUAUUAGUGCUCAAGGGGCAGAACUCAUAGCUCUGAACCAUGCCUGUAUAAUUGCCAAGGAUAAAAGGGCAACAAUUUAUAUGGAUUCUAGAUAUGAUUUUGGCAUUUGUCACUCAGUUGGGAGUCUAUGGCUCCAGAGAGGAUUUUUAACCCAGCUGGAAAAUCCAUAGCUAAUGCAGAAAUUAUUAAUGAAGUUCUUUCUGCUCUCAAACUGCCUAAAGCCCUAGCUAUAGUUCAUUGAUCUGCCCAUACAGGUGUUUCUGACCCUGUCUCUAGAGGAAAUGACCGAGCAGAUGCAGCUGCAAAACUAGCAGCCAUAGAAGGACCUGGAUUAAUUUUAACAUUAACAACCACUGAUGACUUAAAUUUAUCACUUUCCUAUAAUGAAAAGGAAGUGAAAAAAUGGAAACAAAAAUUCAAAGCAAAACAGAUUAAUGUAGUAUGGGUGUCAUCUAAAGGAAAACCCCUGCUCCCUAGAAGUUUCUAUCACCAAAUUUGCCAAUCUAUUCAUAAAAAUGGUCACUUUUGUACCCAGGGCAUCGUGGACUCUGUUAAGAGAGUAUGGAUAGCCCCUGGUAUAACUACCAUAGCCUCUAAAGUGUGUUCAGCCUGCUCUACCUGCCAGGCAUAUAACCUACACGCUUUUCAUGGCAAAGCCUUUGGUGGGCAUCCUCUGGCUUACAUACCUUUUGAGCACCCACAGAGAGAUUUCAUAACAAUGCCAAAGGCCAGACAUCAUAAAUGUUGUCUAGUCAUAGUAGAUCAACUGACCAGAUGGCCGGAAGCAUUUCCUGUGACCUAAGCCACAGUGGUUUUUGUUGCUAAGGUGCUUUUAAAAGAAAUUAUUCCUUGCUUUGGCCUGCCAGCAUGUAUUGAUUCAGAUAGAGGAAGUCAUUUUACUGAUUCUGUCUUAAAUCAAAUAUAUUCCUGCUUAGGGAUAACUCCCAAAUUCCAUGUUCCAUAUAAUCCUGAGAGCUCAGGCCAAGUUGAAAGAAUGAAUAAAGAACUUAAAACUAUGAUUGGAAAAUUAUGCAAUGAAACCCAUUUAAAAUGGCCUGAAAUUCUCCCUCUGGCCCUAUUUUAUCUUAGAAGCAGGCCUAGAGGAGAUCUAUACAUCUCACCAUUUGUGAUGCUUUUUGGACAUCCACCUAUCUAGGCCAAGCCUUUAUCCCCCGCAUAUACAUCAUUAUUAGGGGGAGAUACUACUAUUGCUUCCUAUAUACAGGAAUUGCAGCACAAACUGAGUGAACUCCAUGAAUCCAGAGCUGAAGUACAAGCUGGACCACUAGACUUUUCACUUCACGACCUGAACCCAGGAGAUAAAGUGUAUAUUAAGAAUUUCCAGCAUACUAGAGCAACUCAGCCCUCCUGGGAAGGACCAUUCCAAAUAUUGUUAACUACUCCAACAUCUAUAAAGUUUGGAGAGAAGGGCUCUUGGAUUCAUUGCUCACAAGUAAAGAGAGCAUCUUUUAAAGAGAGACUGAUUAACUCUAUCCUAUCACAUGAAUUGGAGAUAAUAAUCCAAUGACAAGUUUUUUGAGAACACAUUAUAUUCCUGAUUUUUUCCCUUAUUUUUUUAUUAUUGCUUUUCUUUUAUUUUGAUUUGAAUAUUUGAUUUUUCCCCUUAUCCUCAUUUCUUGUACUAAAGGUACAUACAAUUAAUUUUAUUUCUCUCUGUAGUAGUAUAAGUUUAAUAUUUGCUAUAAUAUCAAUGCAUACCCAAAAGCUUUAAACUAUGGGAACCUGCCAUUUAUUGAUAAAAUGUUAUGGGACUGUGAUUAAUGUUUGUGUCUGAUUCCAGAAAAAUGGAUAAAAAUGAGGAGCACAGACUUAGCCUGAAAUAGUGCCAAGAGAGCACACAGGUAAAAAAAAUAAAGAAGAAACCAAUCCAGAUAGGAUUGAUGCACUUCUAAGUCAAUACUAAGGACUUGAACCUAGAGUGAGACUCGAAGUUGUGAUGCUUGACAUAUGUUAAGAUGUAGGCCUUCCUUGUAUCCACACUCUUUGUAAAAUACUUACAGACAAGUACCAAAGGUUGGCUAUCAUCCUGGCUCCCUAUAUCACUGAGAAUGACAAAAAUCAGACCAGGCAAUGACACUUCCCUAUCAAAAUAGAAUUCUAGUUCCCUCUCUUCUUAUAGCAUGGCAACUUCCUGUAGUCUUGGUUGAAAAUGGGUAAGUGAAAUAUUACUGCAUUCUAUCCUACAGACUUGUGGGAUAAAAAUUACUUUAAAUUGGACCUGUACAAGGGCAUAUUAUGAAUUUAUUCUUGCUUAUUCAACAUUGUAUAUACAUAGAUUUUGGUAUUUUGAUUCUGAUUUUGAAUUUUUUUCUCUUUCUUUCUCCCAAAAGUUUAACUUUCUUCCAACGCUAAAAUUAUCUUUACAUAUGGUACCAGAUAUAAGUCAGUUUCCCAAUUGCUGGGUCAUCUUAACUUUCCCCCCUCUCCAAAGUUCUGAGUUCCUUUUCCUGCCAAUCCCUUGAAGCUGUAGAAUUCUGCAGUUUUCACCUUUUUCAUUUCUAUCAUAGAUGUCAAAUCUUCUCUUACAAUAUUUUACUCACAUCCUGAGAUAUGAGGGAGAGAAUGGGAUAUAAUCUCUUAAAGUCACUGCAUUGACUUUAAGGUCAUGUGUGCAACAUCCUUCAGAGGAAACAAGCCCUUAAAGGAGGUGUUGUUUUCUAGUAUUGAGUCUAAAGUCUGUGUGGAAACUGAGUAGAGCAGAUGAGGCAUGUAGAGAUUUCAUGGGGAGGUUGAGGCAGGAGCAGAGUGAAGUAGUAUUGUCACAGAAGGUUAGUCAUAGCUUGGAGAGGAGAAAAGGAAAUGGCUACGGCUUCAGCAGGUGGGGUAGAAUAGGAAGGUCCAAAAAUGGUGAGGGCUUUUGGGAGUAAGUUAAAGGGAGAAGGUCUAGGAAAGCAAAAAGAAAUAGAGAAUGCAUUUGGGCGUGGGUGAAAAGAAUGUAUAGGGUUGGGAAGGGGAAAGGGAAGUUUAAAGAGGGUCCCAAAAAGAGGGAAGGGGGAUCAGGUUGAGGCCAGAGAGGGAGGAACAAUGUAAGAUGCAGUGGAAAAUUGGUUAAAAAUUUGGCCACUUGAUUGAACCUUUGUGGAUUCAUUAAUGAGCAUGGUCCAAAUGUGCCAAUGUUCUAAUUAUUUUGGGUUUUUAUUUCUAAUAGUUAAUUUUAACUUUUUAAACAUCAUAAAGACAAAAGAUCCAAAAUGGGGUCAAACUGGUUCCCCAAUUGUGGAAGUUAUAAUCCUAAACCAUUUCUUACAAAGGCUUAUGGUUUAUUUUUUGUUAUUCCUGGCUCUAUUGAUAGUAGUCCUUGUUCUCAUGAGAUGAGCAAGGCAUGUAAAGAGAUCCUUAUGGGAUAGGGUUCUCACUGCUCAUAUUCCCCGUUUUCAUAAAAUAAACCCAAACUGCAACCAGAGGACACAUAGUUUUCUGUUCCAUUGUCUAAGCACAGCUCAAUUCAUGUUUUUUCUUUAAAAAAAUGAGGAUUAAAGAAAGGCAGAGAGAACUGAAGGUCAUCCCUUUCUUACUCCUUUAUUGUUAACUUUAGACCACUGCCUUUCACUUUUCUAACUUCCGUGUCUGGUUAUUAUCUUACUUACUUCACUGUUCUUCCAAUUUAUUUUUGCAACACUUUCCAACAACAAAAAAAGAAAAAGAGACAAAAUAAUGGACAAAUAUACACAAACAAAACAGACACCUUACCAAGAGUUUCUUCUUGACUUUUUCAGCUUCUCAGGAAUCUGAAACUCACAUAAAAUGUUUUUUCUACACUCCAUAUAAGCCACUCUUAUGUGACAAAAAAAAUUUUAGAAAAAGGCAAGAAAAAGGAGGAAUUCAGACUCCCAAGCAGUCACCAGAUUGUUACAAUUAAAAUUCUAUGGUGACUGUAUAUUAAUUUAUAAUUAUGUACUAAAUAGUGAAAAGUGGAUCUGUGGAUCCCCCAAGUAAGCCAAGCUCACUGCUUAUCUCAUGUUCUCAUUCAGGAAGAAAAGAGCACUCACCUUCCUUGAUCCAUAACUUACGCCCCCAUGACAUCACUUUUUCUGGGUGUAAAAAUAAAUUUGUGAACUAAAAAAUAAAAUAUUUAGAUGGAAAAACUGUUCCAAUAUAGGUUCAAAACUUUUCAAAACUGUUUAACUCGCUAAUCAGAUUCAAACUGUUUGGAUAGAGGUAAUAAAAAAUAUCCUCAGUGAUGAAGUGAAGCUCAAAUGUGAACUUCCCUUCAGAGCCAGGCUCAAGGACACUAGAGAGACCCUUAUUAUAAACAUAAACUGUUUAUUGAACUAUAUAAGGAUAAAUAAAGGAUUUCUAAUUCUAAGGGAUUCUAAAUCCAUCCAAAUAAACUCCCAGGAGCCACAAGGAACUACUUCUCCUGUGUUUCACAGGCUACACUAAUCCUUCCUGAUCUAACUAACCCAAAUUUAUACUAUCUAAAUAAAAACUACUGCUAAUAUCCUUAUAAAUCUUAACUUUGCCUUCAAAUUAUAAAAUAGCAAAGGCUAGCUGGUUGAGUCUCAACAAGAAUCAAGUUAGGACUCUGAUUCUGUUAGGACUUAACAGACUCAGAGACCAAACCAAAGACCAGGUUUUUGUUUGGUAUUCUCAGAGUUAAAUAUGUUAAGCAAAAAAAAAAUACCACAAUAGAUAGUCAAUAGUGUUUCCCAAUUUGGGAAAGGAAAACACUGAGCUCCUUCCAAUAUUUCACUCAGAUAGAGAGGCAAAGAUAUUAUCUCCUCCAGCCCUAAAAGAGAGUCUCUGAGAAUAUGUCUCUGCUAACUGCCAGAAAGCAACUCCCAAUUGCCAGAGAGACUAAUUGACAUAGAAAAAUGGUUAUAACUGUCAGCAGUUGAAAUUAACAUGCUCUCUCAACUCUGCUUCAAACUCCAGUUCUUUUCUCUAGCCAGUAAAGUUACUUCUUAUCCUAAACUAAUAAAACAAUACUUAUUUUCUAAUAUCAUCUUUACAUGGGUCAUCCUGAUAGGACAGAUUUGACCUUAGUCUAGGUCAGAGAGUGGUAUUCCUGAUGCCAAGAGUCAUAUGAGAGAAGAGGCAACCAUCCUCCAGGAUAUCAGAGAGCUUCAAGGCUUCUGGCUGACUUCCUCCUUAUACAAAGAAACCUCAGGUCUUGUUUAUAAUCCACUCAAAGGGUGGGGGCUGAACAGAAACCCAAUUCACUAGAGAACAGCCCAAGACUGUCUUAAAGUAUCAGGAAAAAGGUGCAAACUGGUGUUCAAUUUUCACAUUUUGAAACUACUAAUUCAUUGGAUAUAAUUUGUUUUAAGUUGAGGAAAUAUUAAUGAUGGGUCAUGACUUACUUUUGAUAAAGGCAUAGCAAAUUUCUCUGAGACAUUUUGUGACUUAAAAUCAGCCCUUUAUGGCAGUGUUGUGAGACUAUUGUUAUAUUUUAAAGAACUAGGAUUUUCUUUCUGUUAAAGAGCUUUAUAUGUCUUAUGAUAGAAGUUAAUUUCAUUUCAGGUCAUUUGGAAAAUUAUCUAAUUGUACCUAUUAAUAACAAAUGAAGUGGAGCUGCUCUUUUGAAUCUACUAUUUUCUGUAUAGGUUUAGAUUAUAAUUAUUCUUAUAAUUUAUCUUUAUGAAGACAUGAGGAAAAUGGCAAUAAUUUGUGCCUAGGCAAUAAUUUGGCCCUGAGCUAUAAAUGACAAGCAUUUUGCUUUUGAAAAAAAAUUAGGGAUUUUUGAUCUGUUUCUUUUCUAAGUUUUGAUUUUAGAAAUAAGUGUUUGAAAUUACUCCUUCCUUGAAGGGAAAUGCCAUGUACUCUUACAGUCUGAGGACUAUCCAUGGGAAAGUUGAGGGAAUGUCUUUGUGAAGGUAAAGAUAGGAUAUCCUUGAUGUGGUUUAUCCAUUGUGAUGCUUCCUUUUGAGCAGGAAUGUUUAUUAUCUGAUUAAAUCCUGAAUCUGGCCUUGGCACCUUAGAGGUGCCAAGUAGGACUUUGUAAGGAAAUUAAACCUUGACUUUUGACUAAAGUCAAACAAAAUUAUAGACAGGUAUCCUUCUGUGCUGUUAGGCUUAGGCCUGAAAGACGAGUUUUGGUGCUGUUUUCACUUCCUCUCAGUAAAUUCCUAUUAAUCAGGGCAUUUGAUCAUUGAACUAUAUGAACACAAAAUUAAAUAUUUAUCUAAUAGACCAAAGCUGAAAAAUAUAUAAGGUAUUAGUUGUAAAAUUGAAACCAUUCUACUUGAAAUUAAAUUUGUUUGAUAUUCGUAGACAUAAAUAAAUAUUUGGCCUUGCAAUCAGUCAUUAAUUAUUUAAAGUCCUUCAAAGAUCUGAGUGGUAUAGAACUAGUUAGACAAUUAGACAAUGAUCUGGGAACAUGCAACACCAAGUUAUAAUCCCACUGCUUAAAUAAGAUUACAUCAGAACCAUUUUCUGUUCUUUGUUAAAAGAAUUUAGUACAAUUACUUUUCUUUCAGAAAAAUUACAUGUCCUAUUUUUCGCUGUAUCUAAGUGAUAUCUAAUUCUACUUAAGAUUUGUUAUUUGUUGCAUGUCUAAAACUUGCGUAUGGGAUGUAUUCUAUAAUGUAAAUUGAUUACACAAGUAUGUGGAAAAGAUCUGAGAGCAUUAGUCUAUGUGAGUGUAAUAUCUAGUUUAUUUGAGUAUGGUUGGAAAGUGAUUGUAUUUGACUAUAGAUAACAUAUCUCUUAGAACAAAUUGACUAGCUUUUAAAGAAUCCUAUCCCAAGUGUAUUGUUAUAAUAAAAGGGUAAAUAUCUUUUAACAAAUUCAUUCAUGUAGUCAUAAAACUUAGGCACAAAAGCUACGUUUGCAAAGAGUAUUGCCAUCUUUGGCUCUUGUGUAGAAUAACAUCCUUAGCAGAACCUUAUCCUCUGGGAGGGGUGAGUGGUAAGGGGGAUUGAGAAAAUUAAAGCUUGAGAAGAUUAAAGUGAAUAAAUGAUAAAAAAUUACAUAACAAAUAAUAAAUAACAUGAUAGAGAUAAUUAUUAUUUGAGAACAAAUAGAAUAAAUAAUAGAAAAUAAUAAUUGCUGUGAAAAUUUUUGAAGAAUUUAGUAAGAUCAGAGGAAUAUAUUACAAAUAGGAAUAUAUAUGCAUAUGUAAAAUACAAUUGUUUCUAAGUCAUAAAGCAUAUUAUAAUACCAAGUUGCAGAAAUCAGACAUAUGUCAAAUUUUUAACUAAAAAUUUAACUCUAAAGUUUAGAUCAUCAAAGUUUCUUUCAUCUGUUCUUUCAGUUGUUAAUGAUUUCCAAAGCAAGUAUGUUAUUCAUACAGAAACACAGCAAGAAAUUUAGUAAUUCUUUAGAGUAGCAGUUCAUAAUUGGAUAUCCUUUACAUUAAGAAAAUUAGAAUCCUAGGGUUUGAAUUAGCUUUUAUAUGACCCUAUCUAUUGGCAAAGCAAAAAUUUUAGUGACUGUUAAAUCUCAAUUUCCAUUUGACCUAAUUCUAGUUUUUAAAGAAUUGUUUUCUUUAGUGAAAAAUUUUUAACAAGCUGUUGACUCUGUCAAUUCUGUUAUUAUUUGAUUUCUCAACUUCUUUUCAGAAGUUCUUUUGGGACCUGACACUUUCUCACUUUCCAUUGAAGCUUCAUAUGUUUCCUUUUUGUUAUUGUUGUCCUUUUCUGAGUUAGUAUUUUGAUGUUCCCUGUCACUAUAUUAAUUUUCUAAGUUAGGUUUUCUUCUUUGUCUUUUGUUCAUUUUUCUGGUAUUGUUUUUUUCCUACUUACUAUUCUUUGAGAAAAUUAAAGCUUGAGAAGAUUACUUACUAUUUUUUACCUUGUCUGUUUAGGUUCUUCUCUCCUCCAGGGAUAUAAGGAGCAUGGUUCUAAGCUUAUAGUGUAGCCUUCUCAGAUGCUUGGUUAGGUCCAGUCUUUGCAUCCCACAGUGUGCAUCUCGAGAGGGUAGCCCUGUGAGCUUCCUAUUUGGAGGUUUGUAGCUUUUUGUCCAUCUAGUUUAUGCUCCCCCUGCUUCUGGUUCCCCUUUUGUUUCAUGGGUUGGUCUGGUUUCACUCUGCCAUUUCAUUGCCCUGGGCAUCAUGGCCUGUGCUGUGUUGGCCCUUUUCUACCAAUUCAUUGCUUAUGGAUGCCUAGUAGUCUGUUGAGAAAGUUCAUCUUCUGCUAGUUGUCCUGGAUGCCACACUCUCUGGGCUACUCUGUCUUCUCACUCCAGUGAAACAUGUUCCUCCCCUUUCCUUUGUUUUGAGGUAAUUUUGUGGUUUGGGUAAGUAGGGUAUCCCUUACUCCAAUGUAGCUCCUAGCAAAGAACUCCAGCCUUUCACUAUUUGGCAAAACUACAUUCCCCUUUCAGAGGGCAACCCCUGUUCUGAUGGGUCUUAUCUUCUUUUUGGAACUAUAAAGUUCAAAUGAAUGGUAGCUAUGGUUGACUCCUCAGCGCAUAUAGUUCCUUUUUGGACUGAUUCUUAUUCUUUGUGACCAUAAAGAUUGUGCCAACUAUAGACCUCUCUCUAGGUCCAAGUAUUGUUAGACAUCUCCAUCUCCUCUCCUGCUUUCUCUUAUGUAGACCGAAUUUCUUUCCUCUUUCUCACCGAAUCUUGUCUCUUGCAUCUCUGCCUGGUGCCAGUUGCUCAAUGCACUUAGUUCCCUAUCCUCAAAACAAACUUUGGUGUUAUUACCCUUAGUAUUACAGAUGAGUAAACUGAGACUGGAAGAGGUUAAGUGAUUUUGCUGUCCUCCUAGAGCUAGUUAGUAUCAGAGGUAGAAUUUGAACCCAGAACUCUUCUGAACUCAAUUGUAAGGUUUGCUAAAAUACUCUUUGCCUCUUCCAAUGAUUAUUCCACAAACAUCCACUGGGCACUAGCCAAUAUUCCAAGCUGUUAGAGAGAUGCAAAGUUUAGUAAGGCAUGGUCUCUGCUCUUAAGGAAUUUACAAUCUAGUAUGGGAGAUUAAAGAGGUAUAAAAAUAACUAUUUUAUGGUAGCAUCUGAUAAACGUGUUGGAGAAAUGAGAGAUCUUUUUACUUUCAACCAGAUAAUCAGGGAAAGCAUUCUCUCUCCUUCCCUCCUUUCUCUAACUGACCUAACAUUCCCAAUCAAGAGAUGGUGGAAAGAAGGAAGCAAAGAAAGGAAGACAGGGAGAAAGAGAAAGAGAGACAGUAUCUUUUUUCCUUCAUCUCUCCCUCUUUCCUUCUUUCUUUCCCUUCUUUCCUUCUUUCCUUUUGUCCUAUUUUUCCUUCCUCUCCUCCUUCCUUUAUUCUUUAUGUUCCCUCUUUUCUUCUGUCUUCAUUUCCUCCCUUCUGAUACCUUGGCUGCCAAAUGUGAAGACUCAGAAACAGAAGUGUAGUCUUGUAGUAAAUGCCAUAAAUGCCAGCAUGGCAUAGGUACCACUCAUUCUGGCCUCUAGGUUAUAUCUCCUCCCAGAAAUAAUAUAUCACGUCUUAAGUUUCUCCUAGCUCCUUCCUGCCCCCCUUUUCCACCCUAGCACAAAGCUUUUUAAAGAGAGAGGAAAACAGUAAAUAAAACCCAAAUCAGAUUACAAGGGCAAUGCCAGUACUUUUCCAUCCAAGACUAUUGAGGCAUAUAAAACCCUUCUGAACCAGGGAAGGAUUGGGCUCAAUUAGAUCUUGCUGCUGGUAGUUUCCACUUGAGGUAUCUAUUCAUGGCCCAGGGUCUCACUACCCCCACCUCCUCAUGUCAAGGAAAGCAGUACCCCCUCCUCACAAGCAAAAGUGAUUGUUUUGGGAUAAUGCCGACUAGGGCUUCUUCAGAAAAUCCCUGAACUCCUAGUGUAUCCUUGCAAGAAAUGCAUACUGCUGCUAUCUGUGAGUGGUCCAAAGGUUUCUCUUCCCAAGAACUUUUGAGCUCUCUGCUACAUUUGAGCAGUACUAAGUAGCAUAACCUUUCCCCAGGAUUCUUGGUGCCCCGUGCUGCUGGCACUCUUAUUAUCACCCUUUCAAACUUUCAUACAUACUCCUAGGCAGGAGUGUGUGUGUGUGUGUGUGUGUGUGUGUGUGUGUGUGUGUGUGUGUGUGUGUGUGACAACUGUAAAAGCUGGAAAGAUCCCCUUUGUUUUUUGGGGGGUGUGUUGCAGGUUCUUGGGUAGAAGAGACAUAGAGAUAGGGACAGAGGAAAAUACAUUUUAAUAAAGAACGAGAUGUUGGGAGGUGUAGGCUUUUGAACAUUAUAUGAGAUCACGAGGAAAAAGGAAUGUAAAAGAAGAGAAAAGGAAGCAGGAAGGGAUAGCCUUCAUUAUAUUCAGCUAUUGGUUAUGGUGUUUGGGCAUUAUCCUUGCUCUUUUACCCCACCCCCAUUCUUUGCUUAUGGUCAUGGCCAGUGUAUAGGUUAGACAUGGUGUGGAAAAAUGGAUAGUUCCAGCCAGUCCUCUGGCCUGGGACAUAUUAUGCUUGUUAUUGUCCCUGUUAGUGACACAGGUAAGCAUUUCAGGGUAUACAAUCACCAAAAUGAAAACAUUAGCCCAGACUUCCGGUCUCCUCAGCCCUUUUCUCCAUUACUUCCUCUCCUCUCUAAAUCCCUCACCCUCUCCUCUGAAAGCCUGUUCCAAUUACUCUGGCCCUUGCUGUUUCCUUUCUCUCUCUGAACUCCCACAGGUGCCUUUUAAUCUGGCUCAAACCAGACUGUAAAAUACUCCAUGUCCACAUAGCCUUCAGUUUGCCUUCCUGUGGAGCUUUAGCAAAUGAGGGGGGGAAAGCAACAACAACAACCAGAACAACAACAACAAAAACCUUCCCACAUUCUAAUGGAGCACUUGUUUCUUCAGAUACUGCCCACUGUCUAUACCACUCAUUUAGGCUGGCACUUAAUCACCUACUUAUUGUCUUGCAUUAAUAACAAUUUCAUGUGUGUUAGUCUUGAUUUUCUGAAAGAAUAGUCAACUCCUUAUGUAACGGCAAGAGCCAUUCCUAAUACUUAAAACAAGUUGGUUUUUUUCCUUUCCAAGUGUGUUGGAUAUACACCAGGUGCUCAAUGAAAUGUUGUAGAGAUAGGGAAAGAAAGGGAAUUAGCAUUUAUUAAACUAUUAUUAUAUGCCACGCACCAUGAUAAACACCUUACAAAUAUUGUUUUGGAAUUUUGAGAAAAAUAACAAAAGAAGGGAAAAGGAGAAAGAAAUGUAAAAAUAGGAGAUGGAAGAGAGGGGAAUGUGGGUAAAUAGAUUUCUGUUCUACUUGGAUUUAAAAAAACCCUUUUAGAAAUCCUUACCUUGUGUUUUAGAAUUGACACAAGUAUCGGUUCCAAAACACAACAGCAGUAAGGGAUAGUCAGUGGGGGUUAAGUGACUUAUUCAGGAACAUAUAGCUAGGAAGCGACAGAGGUCAGAUUUCAACUCAGGUCCUUCUAUCUCCAGGCUUGGCUCUCUAUCCAUUGAGUAACCUAGUUCCCUCUGCCCUUAACUUUUAAAAUAGUUAUUUAGUUCAACAUAUAUUUAAUACUUCUGCAUAGGGUACUCUGCUAAGCAUAGGGGAUAUAGAGCCAAGCAAACUCAUUUCCUUUGUGAAGAUUACAUGUUUCUUUGCAAAGAAACAGUAUAUAUCAAAGAUGAAUAAAAAUAAAGGAUAUAGAAAGUUAUAUAAAGUUAUUUUAAGAGAGAGCACACUAAUAAUUGAGGACAUUUGGAAAGGCCUCAUGUAGUAGGUAGUACCUGAGCUGUUCUUUGAAAGAAGCUAAGGAUCUGGGGAAGAAGAAGUGAUGGGAGAAAACAUACCAGACAUCUGGGAGUCCUUAUGUAAAAGGUGGUCCUAUACAAGAGAUAGCUAACACACUGGUUUGCUGGGAACAGAAAUUUAGUUAAAGAGAAAAAUAUUCAAUAAGCCUGGAGAGAAAGGCAGGAGCCAGAUUGUGGAGACAUUAAAUACCAGACAGAGAAGUUUGUCUUGUGUCCUCAAGAUAUCAGAGAAUCACCAAAGGUUUCUGAAGAGGAUAUUCUUGAAGUUAAUUGGUUGCUUUAAGAAUACAACUUGGCAUCCAUAGAGAGGAUGAAUUGGAGAAAAGAGAUGGGAAGUAAAGAGAUGAAUAUGGAAGCUCCAGCAAUAGUCCAGAUGAGAGUACAUGAGAGCAUGAAUUUGAGUAGAGACUGUGUGAUUGGAGAGAAGGGAACAAAUUCACAAGAUAUUGUGGGGAUAGACUUGUCAAGACUUGAGAACUAGUAGCAUUAUAGAGAUAAGGGAAAAAGAAGAGUCAAUGAUGACUUCGAGGUUCUUGUAGAUGGAGGUAUGGCAAUCAAUGGUGCCUACUAUAGUUCUCUGCACACAGGUGGGUACUUAAUAAAACGUUUGGAGUUCAUCCAAAUGCUAUCGAGUCACUUCCAGUUAGUGAGAGGGGCUCACCAUCUCACUAGUGAGCCCAUUUGUUUGAAUAGUUAUUAUGGCUAGAAGAUUCUUCAUUAUACUGAGUUUAAAAUCUAUUUCCUUGUAUUUUCUCUACAUGCCUACUCUUUUGCAGCAUAUUUGGCACAAAUUCUGCCCUUUUUGGACCUACAUGUAAUAAAUAGAAUCCACCUAUGAUAUAACAGCAUUUUAGAUGACUUAGUCUUCUCCAAAAUAUUGGCUCAAGAAGAAUAAAAUAUGUAGACUAGCCAUUUGGGGAAAAUAUCCUAAGCUAUAGGCAAAGGUAGUGGAAAAAGAGGUGAAGAAUAAAAAAAAAAGUGUCAAUUCUAGAGAUAAUUGUGGGGGGAAUAUAAUCUAAAUAUCUAAAUCUAAAUCAAUCUAAAGUUGGAAUUGGAGUCAGGAGAGUCCUGGAUUUGAAGGUUAUUUUCCACACUGAAUUACUUUGCUGGUAUUUACACUUUAAAUCUGAUCUUUAAUUGUGGACCCUGAGGGGAAGAGUUAGGCUUGAAGUCAAAACACCUUUGUUGGAAAUCUUGAAUAUAUCAUUUUGGGCAAUCAAUUAAAUUUUUGACUUUAAUUUUAUCAACUAUGAAAUGAAAGGACUGGAUUCAUUAGUGUGAAAAUCAAAUAGAAAUUGGUCCACUAACCAUAAGGAUUCCUGCAGUCACAUAUUCAGUUAGAAAGCCAUGCAAUUACAUUAUCUAUAUGGUAUUGCAUUUUAAUUUAUUUUGUUAAUUCUGCCCCCCGCCCAUUUAAAUUUUAAUCUGAUUAGAAAGUAUGCUCUAUGGUAUCUGACACCUCUGGUUUAGAUGAUCUUUUGGGUUGCUAAGAUUCCUCUAGCUUUGAACAUGGAAUCAGAGCAAGUGAGGAGAACUGUGGGCAGUAGGGAUUAUAUAACACAAAAGUGAAGUGAAAGAGAAUUCAAAUUAUAGGAAGUAGAGACAUGAGUUCAAAUCCUACCACUUAAUUUCUCUGAGCUUCAUCUUCCUCAUAUGCAAAUGGAGAUAAUUUACCUUUUUUUUAAAAAUAGCAUUUUAUUUAAAUAAUAUAUAAUAAUAAAACUAAAAAUAAAACCUUUUUACAGGGUUGUGGGGAUGAAAUUGGAUAUUUAUAAGAAGCACUUAACCAACAUUAUUUAUUUGUCAAACAAAGUGUUAUAUAAAGACCAUCUUAUUAUUAAGAUUUCAUUCUCAUCUUUUUCAAUAGGGUUCAGGUAGAAAGCUUAGGGACAAGUUACAAUCUUGCUAUACAUUUUUUAUAUUUCAUGUUCUGAUUAGAUCAUAGGAGGAUAAAUAGUUAAAUAGCACCUGCUCUAUAGAGUUAUAAAGGCAUGAUUAAUAUAAUUCUUGCAGCAGAGAGGGCAAUGUUCCCACAUGAUUUGGAUAUUCUUAGCUAGAUUUCUGUAUUUUGAAAGUUUUGCCAUCCUCUCUAGUUUGAAAAUUAUGAAUAUUUGGCAUGAUAGCAGGAAUUAAAAUGCUAUUCUUAAGUUUUUCAUGAUCAUCAUUAGGUCUGAGAGAUUGUAGGCAAUUCUUUGGUGUGAGAUGAUGCUUUGGCUAUAGUAGACUUUACUGGUUGAUGUCUAAUUUAGUAUGGGGAUUUGUUGUCUGUCAGUCCAGACAAUCCUCUUGGUUCCAUCCUGACAUAAGCUUUGUCCAGGAGUAGGCAAGGACUUCUGUGAUAAAAACCCACAUACAUAGGGCAGUUUUGUAACAAACUAGUAGUUUUCAAAGAUAAGGAAAUACAGCUGAGGCAAUGGUGAUGAUGGCAAAAGAUAAUAGGCUUUGGAUAUAUAUGACUCUUGCUAGUAGGUCAUAUCUUGCCAGAUAUUUGGUAGAUGUUAACUUUUUCCAUCCUAUAGUUAUGAAUUACACAAUCAGUAGCAUUUCCUUGUUCUAUCUACAUUGAUCAUUAAGUGUUGCUCAUGAAAUAGAAUUCUUUCUGUAAUUUCUGAUCAUAAUGGGCUUGGUUCUGAAUUGCUGUCAUAACCACCUUAUUUCCUCAAACAAGUUUACACAACUGAGCCAUUUGUUUGUCUUUUAUUGGUUGACUUUUUGCUGAUUAAAUUCAUGUAGCUAUUGCCAAUGGAGACCUUUUGAUUUCCAGCUUGUAUUUUAGCCACAUCAGAAGACUCCAUCCAGAGGGAAGCCAUUUUAGCUACAUUUGACCAAUUCAAUUGUGCAUAGUUAUUGUCAGCUUUGGCUAUUAAUUGAUGAAAUGAUAUUGUCUUGUUUCAAAUGUAUUUAUGUCUGGGGUUUUGGGGUUUGGGGACUUACUUAUUAUUUGCUCUAAGAAUGUCCAUUUUGCACCUUUUCACCAUGGAUCAAGUUUUACUUUUGUUUUUUACUAAUCUAUUUAUUCAUUGAUAAAAAGUACAUAGUACAAGCCCUUUACCAUAAGUAUUCUAUAAAAGAUUUCAGGAAACUCUGGAUGGUACAGAUAUAAUUAAUUUUACCUAAUUUAGAAAAUUUUAGAUUCCUCUUCCUUUUUGGUGAGGAGGUAUUUAUUUUUAAGCUACCUUAAAAAGUCCUAAGCUAUGUUAGACUAAUAGGCCACAUAUUUUUUAAUAUUGGCAAUUAUUAUUAUAGAAGAAGAAGUUAAAACUAUGUGGGAAUAAGUUGAAGUAUGUGCCCUCCUUAUCUUCUUCUAUACAACCAGAAUUGUACCAAAUUGGAUUUUGGUGAGUCUGUAGAAGAUAAGCUUAUACCUUAAUACUCAUUUAAUUAUAAAAAUGAUCAUUUUUUCUUCUUACAACAAUCCACAGAACAUAAAGAAUAACAUGAGGAUAGAGACAUAUCUGCAGCCUCUUUCUAAAUAAAUCCCAUUACGAAGAUGAAAAGAAUGAGAGUCAUUCAGGUUUGGCUCCUUAUGAUCCAUUUAAAAACUGGGCAGGUCCACCUGGAAGAGCAAACAGUGGCUGAAUCAAUGAUUCUGAGCCUUGGGGCUUGAAAAACCACCAAGAGAAGAUCCACUUCCUUCUCCCGCCUCGGGCUGCCUCCCACAAUUGCUACUUAGUCUGUGGAGAGUAGGGAGAGUCCUGAUCUGGGCCACCUUUCUAUUUGCCAUAACCUCCCGCCGCUGGCUGAGGGUG